GGACGGUUAAGAAGUAUGAAGUAAUUUGAGGUUUGUGCGAAUGCAUUGCAUUAAAUAACGUGUGGUGUGUGAAUGGUAUCACAGAGCUCUACAGCAACAAAACAUCUUUACGUUCAUUUAGACAGACUUGGCUGUGUGUUUUACUUCACUCAAGCUCUGAGAUACAUUCAUACACACUGCAUAUUAAAUGAUUUUAUUCCUUAUAAAUGACAUGAAUAUCUGCAAGCACUACAUGUGUUGUUAUAAUUCUGAUAUAUCGCCUACUUGUGAAAUUUGUCUGAGAAACCCCUCCUACUGCCACCAUUAAUGAAUAUUCAAGUAGAAAUAGGAUUUAUAAUAGACUCACAAGUUGUGAGCAUUGACACAGACUACUGCAUCAGCAAUAUUCUAGUCAUUCACCACUAUAUGUUAGCAGCUGGUCACAGAAUUCUGUCAAUUAGCAAUUAAAGCUGAAGUCUUAAAGGAACGCUAUAGUGUUAAGAAUCCAAAUGUAGGAAAGUAAACAGAAGUCUAGUGUGCAUGUGCGGCAUUACACCACACUGUUGCAAUCGAAUGGUCUCUAAGAUUUUACUCGGCUAUUUCGGAAGACCCACUGCUAGUGGUUGAGUGACAGCCACUAGAAGCAUUUAUUCAGGGCCGCCAUCAGGGCAUGACGGCUGUCAUGGGCCCUGGAGGGCCGGACUGCUCUGGGAGUUUGGAUAUAUAUAUAUAUGUGUGUGUGUGUGUACUGGCUACCUGUUCAUUGCAGAGGGGGCCCGCAGCACACUCUCACUUCCCAGCAGCUCCUCUCUCUAAAUCUUGCGAGUCCCGCGUCCGUUAGAGUGUUGCCACGGGUUACCUUGGCAAUGCUCUGCACGGCACACAGGCCGCGAGAGUUAGAUAGGGGAGCUGCUGGGAAGGGAAGUCAGUGUGUGCUGCAGGCCCCCUCUGCAGAGAACAGCGGCUGGCUCAGAGCACCAAGCCACCGGACCACCAGGGAAUGCGAUCACCCCACGGUUAAGGUUAGAUGCAGGAGGGAGGAGGGAUUAAAUAAAAUGUAAAAAAAAAAUAUAUUUUUUAAAUGUUACAAAAAAAGGCCCCUCAUCCCAUUUUAGACACAUUACAUACCUACACAAAUACACACUGCAUUCACUAUACACACACUACACAAACACACACACUGCAUUCACUAUACACACUACACAAACACACUGCAUGCACUAUACACACUACACAAACACACACACUGCAUUCACUAUACACACGCUACACAAACUCAUACUGCAUUCACUAUACACACACUACACAAACACACACACUGCAUUCACUAUACACACACUACACAAACACACACCGCAUGCACUAUACACACUACACAAACACACACACUGCAUCCAUUAUACACACACACUACAUGCACUAGACAAACACACACUCCACAUUCACAAUACACGCACACACUACAUCCACUACACAAACAAACACACACACUCUGCAUUCACUAUACACACACUAUAUCCACUACACAAACACACACUCUGCAUUCACUACACAAACAAACACUCUGCAUUCACUACAUACACUACACAAACACACACUCUGCAUUCACUAUAUACACCACAUCUAAUGCACACAAACACUACAUCCACUACACAAACACACACACACACACUCUGCAUUCACUUUACACACCCACUACACAAACACGCACUACAUCCAUUAUACACACAUACUACAUGCACUACACAAACACACUCCACAUUCACAAUGCACACAAACACUACAUCCACUACAUAAACAAACACACACACACACUCUGCAUUUAAUAUACACCUGUACAAUCUGCAUCCAGGGCUGGUGCAAGGAUUCUUGCUACCUUAGGCAAAAAAAAAUUGCCACCCCCCCAUAUGUCCUGUCCACCAUGUGACAUCACAAUGACCCGCCCAUAUGCUCUGCCAUAUGGGCCAACGCCAGUUCUGCACAAAGUGUCUUUUAUCUGAAAAGGCAGCAUGUUUACAUUAAAAAGCCUGCAGGCACAGGCUGUAGACACCAGAACCACUACAUUAAGGUAAAUUAGAUAUUAGUGCCACUAAUAAUAUAUUGGAUUGCCUACUUACCACCAGAUGAUGACAAGAGGCUGAUGAUGGGCUCAGUCUGUAGUCUGGCUCCACAGGUCUGGUGUAGAAGAGGCUCUCUGGAGACUGCUUGUAAAAGUGCUCACAACAAUUAACUAACAUGAAGCAGCUCCUUUUUUUUGGGCCCCUUACACAGCUUAAGGUCUGGGCCCCCAGGGCCUGACCAUGAGUAUGCCUACAAGGCCCACCCAUAAAUCCACUUAUAUGGCCCACCCAUGAGUUCUCUCACAGGGAAUGGAGUGUAUGUGUCUAGGGGAUGUGUUAUUUGGUAUUGUAGAGGAUGUAAUGUGUGUGUGUUCUUAUGAAAUGUAGUGUUUAGGGAUACCAAUUUGGGAUGCAGUGUGUGUUUGUGUGUAAGGAAUGCAUUGUAUGUUUCUGUGUGUGUGUGUGUAAGGUAUUCAAGGUGUGUUUCUGUGUAUGUAAUUUAAUGCAGUGUGUGCCUGUAAGGGUGCAUUUUGUUUCUGUGUGUGUGUGUGUAAGAGAAUCAGUGUGUGUGUGUGUGCCCGUAAGUGAUGCACUGUGUGAUUAGGUGUGCCUGUGUGUGAGUUGGAAUGCAUUGUAUAUGUGUGUACUGUAAAAGAGAGGGUUUGUGGGGUAGGAUAGGGACUGAGAGGGGAGCAGCUCUUUAUUUUUUUAUAGUGCUCUCCCCUCCUGUCAAUUAGUGAUCUCCCCUUCCCUCAUGUCCUUCAGUGUUCUCCCCUCCUGUCCCUUAGUGCUCUCUCCUCCCCUCCUGUCCCUUAGUGCUCUCCCUUGGCCCCCUGUCCCUCUGCACAGUUCACCCUUGGUGGUCUUCUCACUCCCCUCUCUUCCCCCCACUUAGUGGUCCUCCCUCUCCCCCCCUUAGUGGUCCUUCCCCUCCUCCCCCCUUAGUGGUCCUUACCCUCUCCCCUCAGUGGUCCUAGCCUCUUCCCCACCCCUUAGUGGUCCUCCCCCUCCUCCUCUACCCCUUAGUGGUCCUCCCCCACCCCUUGGUGGUUAGUGGUUACUCUUCCCCUCAGUGGUCCUACCCUCUUCCCCCAGUGGUGAUAGUGCCUUUCCCCCCCCUGCCCCACACCCUUAGUGGUCCUUUCCUCUGCCCACCCCCUUAGUGGUCCUUUCCCUCCUCCCUCACCCCCAAUGGUCCUUUCCCCUUAUCCACCCACCCCUUAGUGGUCCUUUCCCCUCCUCCCUACCCCAAUGGUCCUUUUUCCCCUUAUCCACCCACCCCCUUAGUGGUCCUUUUUCCUCCUCCCCUACCCCUUAGGGGUUCUUUCCCUCCUCCUCUACCCCUUAGUGGUCUCCCCUCUUCCCCUUAGUGGUCCUCCCCACCCCCUUAGUGGUUCUUACCUCUUCCCCUCAGUGGUCCUUUCCCCUGCUCCCACACCCUUAGUGGUCCUUUUCCUCUCUGCCCCACCUUUAGUGGUCCUUUUUCCCUCCUCCUCCUCCCUAAUGGUUUUCUCCCUCCUCCACCCCCUCUUAGUGGUCCUUUCCUCCCCUCUCCCCUUAGUGGUCCUUUCCCCCUCUUCCCUCCCUCAGUGGUCCUUUCCCCCUCUUCCCUCCCUCAGUGGUCCUUACCCCCCCUUUGGUGAACCUUCCCCUCUUCCCACCCUUGGUGGUCCUCCCUAACUUUUGUGCCUCCUAACUACGUAGCAUGGCCGGGCGGCACGAACCGCAGUACAGGAACUUCUGUUUCCUGUACAGGAACUUCUGUUUCCUGUACCAGGCCGCUGGCAGACUGAAGGGAAGCGCUCACUGAGUGAGCACUUCCUCUCAGUCCGCCGGCGGCCGGGUACAGGGAGCAGAAGCUCCUGUACCGUGGUCUGCACCGCCCGGCCACGCUACAUUAAGUGACCGGUAGGAGGGAGCGGUGUGCACUUCCCUCCUGCCGGUCACUCGAUUCUGGCGCCCCCACCCGGGCCGGUGCGCCCUAGGAAAGCCUAAGUCGCCUAUAGGAUGCGCCGGCCCUGAGUAUUAGAGAAGUAGAUUGGUAGAAUAGUAUUAACUAAAGACUUAGUGUGUUUUUUUUUCUUUUCUUUAAAUGACAGUAGUUGCAGGAUAGGAAUCAGUUGGGAGCUAUUAACAGUUUAAUUAAUACGCUUUUGUAAACCCUGCGUUUAAAUAUUUCCAUUGCAGGGUUAAACAGACAGGAACUUGGCACCAAGACCACUUCAAGCGUCAUAGUUAAAGGAACAAUGUAGAAUUUCAUCUAAUUUGGUUAUUGGGAUUUAAAGCCCCUGGCACUGUCUCUCCAAUUUCAAACAGUUUAACAUUAAAUAAGGAUCCACAGCCAUGCUCCCACUGGAGGUAUGGUUAAAGCAGAGAUUGCAAACUUUCUUCUAGCCAUACCAAUAUAAACUGUUUAGGGACUCUUGUUUAGCAUGAAAAAUGGUUCAGGGCUGAAUGGAAGGAGGCUGCAAGGGGACUCCAGACACCAUCACUGCUUUAAUGAUAUAAAACAGUUAUAGCACCUACAGUGUCCCUUUAACUAUCUGGCUUAUUUGUACUAAGCCCGGGGUGUCUCCAUGGCACUGUAAGCCCAGUGGUUAACAACCCAGUCCACAAGUGACACUAAAAGUUCAAGAUAUAGGUAUUUCUGAUUAUGGUAUGUUCUCAUGGGAAUAUUGGCAAAUCUGGUGUGCCUUGAGGCCUGGGCUGCGAACCACUGAUCAAGCUGUUGGAAUUGGACUAAAACAAAUUGCUUGCCUGUUAUUGGCUACAGCUGUAUGAGUGCAUUUUGGACCCCUAAGAACAGUUUUUCAGUGGAAACAGUUUAACUACUUACAGUAAGAGGGCACCUGGGCACUCCUAGUUCCAUAACCAGUACAGCAAGCUACAGUGGCUAUGGUGCUUAGAAUGUUCAUUUUAUAUUAUGUUAGGACAAGCACUGUGACCUGUUAUCAGUUUGAACCUGAAGAACACCAACCACUAAAAGUACAUAUGGAAGCAAACCUACUAAACAGUGUGCCCUCUAAAACGCCAAACAAAAACAGUGAAACAUACAGAUAAAUAGGAAUGCGCAAGGAUUGACAAAGAUACGUUUAAGCAUGUUCAUGGGCAGUUUUUUUCUUUCCACGAAUUGGGAUUUUGAUAAGAAAAUAUUUUGCAUACUAAUCUGUUACAUAUAGGUUUAAUAGCCCCUGUCUGACUUUGUAGCAAUUCAUAGAUACCUAAAUAAUUAGUAAUUUCAUAGCAAAUGUAAUUCAAUGUAACCGUCAUCAUUUGUACAUGUGUUAUUGCAAGCACAGAAGAUGCACUUUGAACUGUGAUUAACUUGGCAGAAAUGCAGAGUGUAUGCCACAUCCACAAUCUAAUCAAACAAAUAGUUUUGGAGCAGAAUAUUUUAUUCCCGUCACUUACAAAAAACAGAACGGUCACCUGCCUGUGUGAGACCUUGGGGUGAUUCCUCCCCCACCAAUGCCAUUUAACCUACUUAUCAUUUAUUGCUGGAAGAUUGACGUAUGCUUAUUUAUUAUAAAAGCCUGCAUCAAUGUAUUAAUUGCAGAUAAUUAAAUAUCUGAAGGGAGAAAAAAAAAAGUGGUAUCUUGUGCAGCCUAUUGAAUGCUGCAAACAAACUUUUUUUUUUUUUUUAAAUCAUGUCACGGCCACAGUAAUGAGAACCCCUGACAGAGGAUGCACCCCGCAGAGGUCAUGCCAGGAUUUUGGGCAUUCUACAGACUCAUCGAGGUAUUUAUUUUUUCUCCCUGUGAGAACUUGGUGGCGUGUAAUUUGAAUCAGCCAGACAGGGUAAGACUGUGCUUGUCUAUUUAACAAUGUCAUUUUCUAUGCUGCAGGUAGCGUUCUAGUCUCUGUCAACUACUAAGGGACUUCUUUGUCUUAUUGAUAAAGGUCAAGAUUAGCAAAAGUUGACAAAAGGCAGAGUUUCCAACGUCAACUUUUGUCAGUUCCCCUAGCGGCCAAUAAAGAUAGAAGUAGGAGAGGGCAUCAACUUGUAAAUCGUAUUAAACAUUAUUCAGGGGGACCUUACAGUUAUACUUUCACUAGUCUUGUGCAUUUGGUUUCAAAAAAUUUGGGGGCUUUCGGUGGUUGAUCCAAAUUCCAUAAUGCCGAAUCAUGAGACAAACGAAAUCUAUAUUUAGGUAUUAUUUUUCAAUUAUAUAAUAUAUGUAGAUUUUUUUUUUCUGCUUCUUCCUUUUCCCUGUGUUGUUUACUUAUUUUGGAUUGGAUUUGUGAACCAAAUGGUAGGAACAUUUAUUUACCUGUGUACUGCAGUUUAUAUACAUAAUAUUUAAAUUUUGCAGUACACUGGUCCAUUUUCAUGCCCUUUUUGGUUUGUUCAAAUAGUUUUUCUCAAAACGUAUGCAGGGACAAAAUUCAUCCGGAACCAAAUGUCACAUGGACAAAUUUUGGACCACCAGAUCUGCAUUAUUUUUUGCUGGACAAAUCGAUUCGGCUGAACCCAUUUUUCUUUCCUUUCAUGUACAUGCCUAACUCUCUCUCAUGAAAGAGACUGCAGCAUCGAUGAAGCUUCUGACAGAGGAAACAGCAGAAGCAGUCACUGGAAUUUGUACGAACUGCCAGAACCCACCUUCUGUCUAGCACAGACUUUUCUGCCUGCUAUCAUUGUGUUGAAUUUUGCCUGUUUUAGCUUUACAACCGUAGUAGCUGCUUUAAAAUUAUCGCCACCUGGUGGGCAAACAUGAGAAUUUGAUGAAAUGAAAUUUCAGGACCCUUGUUAAUUCAGGAUUAUUCAAACUUUUAGUGACCGAACAAUCUAAAUUUUAUUAAAGACAGGAGGUGAAUGUUUGCUUAUCUUUCUUUACUGUAACUCCCAGCAGCAAAGAAACAGUUAACAAUCAGUGUAAAAAAAGUUAUAUAAACUGCCAUCAGGCUCCUCCCAAUUCCUCUUUCUUGAUGUAGCCGAACAGUCGUAGAGUCAACCAUGUAAACGUAGAACCAUUAGAACGAUGAGUAGGUAACGGUGUAAGUAUCCGAUAGGAUGAAACAGUGCUCAACCCACGGGGGAGACUUGAAACAGAGAUGACGAGCGAUCUUCACACUAGGAGGAAAGAGAAACAUCGUGAGAAAAUCUAAUUAAAUGCCAUGAAACUAACGUCCAAUUUAAGUGCAAGCUUUAACAUAAUAUGUCUUGGGUAAGUGAGAACCAAAUUAAAAAUGCAAUGAAACUAACGUUCAAUUUGAAUGCAAACUUUAACAUAAUAAUUAACUGACGAGUAUAUGCCAGAAAAAAAGACAAGUCAAAAGGAUGCUCGCCACCUAGAUAAAGAUGGAGGUACUAAGAGAUACUUACCUAAUAGGGUGGGUACAGGUAUUCCAGGGUGGGAAAAUAUUAGCCUCCUGUCUUUAAUAAAAUUUAGAUUAUUAAGUCACUAAAAGUUAGCAUAAUCCUGAAUUUUAUGGCAAGACAGGAGGCUUCAUAUUUGCUAUUUUAACUCAUAGAUAGCAUGGACAAAGAAACGUGUGGAAAAUGUCUAAAAUAAAAGUUACGGAAAGUGGAUUCGAUAGACCAAUCGGCGGAGGACAAAAUCUCCGCCAGGGAACCUCUAGCCAUGAACACAGAGGAGGCGGCCGCGCCUCUAACCAAGUGAGCCCCGAAAGAUGCAUCAAUGCCAGCCAGAGUUAGUAGCCAUUUAAUCCACUGAGCAAUAGUAGGGCUCAAGACUGGUUUGUGUGGUCGCACAUAAGACACAAGGAGGGGCCCAGUAAGUGGUCUAAAAGGGGUAGUGCGAGAGAUAUAGUGUCUUACACAACGGGCUACGCAGAGAAGUGGUUUCUCCAUAAAGUAGGGGUAGCUCACUGUAGAUGAAUUGGUCUUGGUGUGUCUAGUGAUGUGAAAGUGCACCCCUUCCGGUGUGAAAUCGAGGGCAUGAAAGUCGAAAGCUCUGAUGUUGGAGACUCUUCGGAAGGAGACCAAGGUAAGGAGGAGAGCUAAUUUGGCUGACAAUUGGCAUAGGGAGAGCACCUCGUUGUCUAGGCAAGCUUCUAAGAAUGUGAGCAUGAGAGCCAUGUCCCAGAAUUGAUUAUAUUUGGGAGCCGGAGGUCUAGCGAUGCGGAUGCCCCGCAAGAGUCUACACACAGAAGGGUGUUUGCCUACUGAAGAACUUUCAAUAGGAACGUGCGCUGCAGAAAUAGCAGAUCGAAACACGUUAAUAGUCCGGUAGGAUUUACCCUGAUCGAACAGAGACGACAGGAAAUUGAUAAUAUUAAUUAUAGAUGUUGAAAAGGGAUCAAAGUUCCUUUCCAAACACCAGCAACUCCAAUGACGCCAUGCGAAGAUGUAAGAGCGUCUGGUUCCUGGGGCCCAUGAAUCCCAAAGGAGUCCAUGAGCAGUAGCCGAAAGGCCUGAGACAUUCCAUGAUCCCCUGAAAUGGUCCAAGCCACUAGUCGGAUCCUGGAUUGCCAACAGGUGAAAGUUGCCUGCCGGGUCCCUGAGGAGGUUGCAGGAGGGGUGGGUAGAAGCAGGGGAAAAUCCACUGACAUUUCCAGGAGGUAAGGGUACUAUGGUUGGGCCCGCCAUAGGGGCGUUACCAGAGUUAUCUUGACACCUUGAGUUUUGAGGUACUGUAGUGUGCGUGGGAUCAUGGAGAAUGGAGGGAACGCAUAUGCUCCGGACAUCGCCGCAUCUAUAAGAAGGCAUCGAAUGCAAGGCACACUGGGUCUGGCAACCAGCUGAUGCGAGAUGCAAAUAGGUCCAGGUUGAAUGGUCCCCACCAGACCUGGAGACGGUGAAGUAUUUGUGGAUCCAGUUGCCAUUCGCUGGAAUCUCUCCAAUGUCGGGAGAACCAGUCUGCAACGAGGUUGUCUGAUCCCAGUAGAUAUUCUGCUUCCAGGGAGAUAUUCCUGUCUAGGCAGAACUGAUACAAUUCCUUGGUCAGGUCCAAAAGCAUCUUUUGAUUUGGAACCUCCUAGAUGAUUCACGUAGUGAACCGCUGAGACAUUGUCCAUCUUCAGCACCACGGAACAAUUGUAGACAUCCUUGGCGAAACUUUGGAUUGUGAAGGAGCCCUCAAUUAGUUAGAGGCAAUUGAUAUGAAGUGCUAAUUCCAAAUGGGACCAGAUCCCUCCUGUAGAGCUUUCCGAGCAAGUUGCGCCCCAUCCGAGCAUGCUUGCAUCCGAUUCCAGGAUGAAAUCGGGUUGGGAUCCGAAGAUGGCUCUCCCAUUCCAAGCGUCCAUAUGUUGUAGCCACCAAUGGAGUUCUAGCCGGAGUUCGUCUGUGAGUGUGAUCUGUUGAUCAUAGGAUGUCGACUGAUGUAAAUAUUGCGUCUUCAGACGUUGCAAUGCUCGGUAGUGCAAUGGGGCAGGGAAUAUUGCCUGUAUUGAAGCGGAGAGCAAACCAAUGAUGCGAGCUAGAUCUCGCAGGCAGAGGUAUGGUGAUAUCCUUUUUUUAUGGAUUUGAUUUUGGUUGCAGGAAGUUGUAGGACUGCCUGAACAGAAUCUAUCUAGAAUCCCAGGAAUUGUACCGUCUGAGACAGAGGGAGAGAUGAUUUCUGGUGAUUGAUCACAAAGCCAAGGUUCUGCAACAAAGUGGAGGUCAUGGCUGUCUGAAGGUGAAGAGUCUUUUGGUUCUGCGCCAUGAGGAGAAUAUCAUCCAGAUAAACGAUGGACCAGAUUCCCUGGGAACGCAGUAAUGCCAUUACUGGUUUCAUUAGUUUGGUAAAUCACCAGGGUGCGGAAGAUAGGCCGAAGGGGAGGCAGGUGAAUUGCCAUAGUUCCUGUUCCCAACGAAACUGAAGGAGGCAGCAGUGGGCUGGUGUUACUGGCACCGUGAGGUAUGCAUCCUUUAGAUCGAAGCGGGAGAACCAAUCUCCCUCGCAGAGUAGGUCUCUCAAUAAAUGGAUUCCCUCCAUUUUGAAGUGACGGUAUGUGAUGAACCUGUUCAGAUCUCUCAGAUUGAUAACAGGUCGUAGGUCUUCUGAUUUUUUCUUGACUAGACACAUGUUGCUUAUGUGGGCCAACAACUCUUUCGAUCGCACCUUUGGCGAAUAGAUUGUUGAGCUCGCUCCCUAGAGUCGACUCGUCUAACAAUGACAUCUUGAUCGGGAUAGGAGGAGAUAUUUGUAUCGGUUCAUCAGUCUGAAGGAUCCAAGGAUCCUGAGUGAGUUGAGACCACGGUUGGGAAAAAAAGGUUAACCGGCCUGCAAUAGGAAUAUGAGAAUAAGUAAGGUCCAUUACCUGUAGCAGUGCGACCGCAGAGGGAAGCAGAUCCACGUCCUCGGAGAGCUCAGCGAGAGGGGAAAAACUGCCAGUGGUGGAAUAUGGGUACUGCCCGAGUUCCAAGGGUCUGUGGAUCGAGGCCUGUAGCCUGUGAAGGCAGCUCUGCCAGUUGCUUGGCCUCUGUAGUGACCAGCCCUCCCGGAAAAACGUUGUGUGCGAAACACCUUGGGGAUGGAGGAUUGUGCUUUAGUUAGUGUAGUAAAUACAGAGGCGUGUUUACUUCGCUCUUUAAUGAACUUGUCUCCGAAUAACAUGCCUUGAGCCUCUGGACCAAGUUCUUUAAUGCCCAAUUCGGCAAGCUUGGCAUCGAUUUUGUAAAGGACGGCCUUUCGCCAUUCUGUCAAGAUUGCCACGUUGGCAUUGCCUAAAAGGCAUAAAGCCCCCCUUGUGCCCACUCUCGCACCAUAGGUGCGUCAAAAGUGCCACGUGAAAGAGCCUCAUCUGCUAUAAUAAAGAUUUGUAUAAGCGGGCCCGCCACAUCCAUCAGUUUAUCUUGAGUGGCUUUCAGACCCUGUUUUAGACCCUUACGGGGGUCUUUCCCUGACUUGGUCAGAAAGGUAACAAGGAAGGGGUCGAAUUCAGGUGUAAUGGCCACCUUGUCCAGGAUGAUGGGACGUGGGCAUUCUGCCCUUAAUUUGGCUCUCAUCUUUUUUUCUAGAGGCCGACGGAGCCACAUUCUACAGUAUUUGGCAAUGUGGUCCGGGGGUGUCCAUUCGGCAGAUCUAGGGUGCCUGAUGCAUCUAGGGUCAAAUAAAGGGCGGCCAGAGGUGUCAAAUAAGGUGUCAUCUUUUAAGUUAGGGUCAGAUGUUAGGUCAGAUUCCAAAUGGAAUUCCUCUUGAUUUGGUAUGAGGGAGGGCUCAUUAGUGAAAUCAGAAGGGUAAAGGUCUCGGGAUGUCUUAUGAGGUGGAGUAUCAUUAUCCGAAUGUUCUGCAUAGUAUUCAUCUACCACCUGAAGAUUAUAAUUAGAGGUUGAACCCUCAAGUGGGUCAAAAUCAUGUUGGGAGACAACCUCCCUGGGUUUAGUAGGGGAACUCUAGGGUGUUUGGCAGGCGCUUUGCCUUUACUGGCGGUAGCGAUAUCGCCCUUCCAAGGGCGCUUGCGAGGAACUCAUCCUGGUCUGAACCAUGAGACUCCUCGGAGUCUGACAGCUGGGUAAUAGUCGCCGUAGGGGCUGGAACUGUGUGCUCGCGGAAAGCCGCUAAAGCUUUGGGUAUAGAGUCGGCAAUUGCAUUGAAUAUCCAUGCCUUAAGUUCAGCAGAGACUGCUGGAUCUGGUAAAUCUGACAUAAUGUCAAAAACAGUGGGGUCCCCACUAAAAUAUUUAUUUAUUUAUUUUAUAUAUAUAUAUAUAUAUAUAUAUAUAUAUAUAUAUACAGCGCUACGGAAUUUGUUGGCGCUAUAUAAAUAAUAAAAUAAUAAUAAUAAUAAUAAUAUAUAUAUAUAUAUAUAUAUAUAUAUAUAGAUAUAUAUAUAUAUUUUUUUUUUUUUUAAAUAUGCAGACAACUAUUUACAAAGAAGCAGUGGACUUUAAACAGGAUUAACCUGUUAGACAAGUUGGGUUCAUCCACAGUAUAUCAGUGGGGUUCACCCAGAGAAAAAAAGGACAAUAUAACGUCCAACAUUAAUAACAGGUAUGUACCUGUGUAAUCAUAUAGGGGGUUACCAUGUAUAGAUGCAAAAAGGGGGUCACCCUCAGAAUAUAGGCUCGAGGGGGUCACCCUAAAAGUAAUGCAAGGGUUUAAGGCACUUUGUUUUUGUGUUUUGGGCAUCUGUAACAGAAAAAUUAAUAUUUCGAGUUGUGGGUUUGUAUACCUUUAAAUAAAUAAAGAACAGCCUGGGGCUUUAAGAAGAAAAACAUUUACUCACCUAACGGCUGGAUCGCAACCACAGAUCAAGAGGUGAAAGCAAACGAAACCGCCGCACAGAGACCGUCCACAAGAUGGCGCCCGAGCAAAAUGCCCAGGAAAAAAGCAAGAGAGAUGGCCGUAGCACAGAGGAAAGGGCGGGAUGCGUCUCUAUGGAGACGCUCAGGGGGAAACAAGUGAGCACAGUAACAGAGUGGCUGAACGGACCGGCAAAAUGCCGGGAGCCGUGGCGAAACUGUCAGUGAUCUAAUUAAACUGACAGAGCACAAUCUAAGAAAGCUGUUACUAUAGGAAGUAAUAUAAAGUUGUGGGCUGACUGAAAUGUACUAAAACGGAAAACACUUCACAUUUUUAAUAAAUAUCGAAUAAAUAAUAAUAAAUUAAAUGAUUAUUGACAGCUGAAAGAGCAAGAUAUUAAAAAGAUAAUAGUCAACUAAAAUUGAGCAUUAAUAGGGAUAUCAUUAGAAUAGACUCACCUGGGAGGUUAAGCAGCAAAGAAAGAGGAGUUGGGAGGAGUCUGAUGACAGUUUAUAUUACUGUGAUGCAUGCUGAUUGGUUAAACUUUUUUACACUGAUUGUUAACUAUUUCUUUGCUGCUGGGAGUUACAGUAAAGAAAGAUAAACAAAUAUGAAGCCUCCUGUCUUGCCAUAAAAUUAUUUAUUGGUCUCACUUGUAAGAGCCGUCUAUAUACACUUGUAUUCAUACAUCCAAUUGUCCUUUUGUGCUUUUACAUUGCUUGGACCAGGGAUCAUAAACUCGCCCUUCAUCCCAUGUUGAUGGCCUACAACUUCCAUAAUUCUUUGAACGCAGUAGGUGCCUAGAGAAUCAUUUUAGUGCAUUUUAUGCAUGCAUUCCCUCAGAGGUUUAUUCACUAACCUCUGAAUUGCAGUGAAGAGACAUUUAGGGAAAGAGACACACUGAGUAGACAUUAAAGGGAAAUUAUACUGCCAGGAAAACAAAAAAUUUUCCUGGCACUGUAGCUUCCCCCUCCGUCAAGUGCACCUUACCCCUCGCGGUGCAGAAGGGGUUAACAAAAACUGACACUUACCUGGGUCCAGCGAUGAUGUCCCUUGGUACUGGCUCAGGUCCGCCGUCGCUCCUCAAUGGCCACACUCGCAUUAGGAUUUCCCCAUAGCAAAGCAUUAUACGCUGGAUGACCCCAUAAAUAGCCACUAGAGGUGGAGUUAACUCUGAACGGUAUUUAUUGCUGUUUGUUAAAAACUGCAAUAAUUACCUUUGCAGUGUAAGGACACUGGGAUAGUGCAUCCAGGUCACUUCAAGUGGUCUUGGUGCCUAUUAUGUCCCUUUAAGUGAAAGCAGAUGCACAGUGAGAAAGAACGGAAGCAGUCUGGGGAGACAUUUAGGGAAAAGAUAUAGAGACUGUUGAGAUAUUUAGGAAACAUUUUAGGAGAGAGACAUAGUAAGCACACAUUUAGGGAAAGAAAGAGACAAUCUCUCACUAACACACACUCACUGACAUACACAUUGUCAGUUACACAUUCUCACUAACCUAUACACACUCUCACCAACAUACACAUUGUCAGUUACACUCUCACUAACACACACACACACACACCGAGAGACACUUAGUGUCACUUGCACACUCUCGCUCAGGGUUGUAUUUACCACAAGGCAAACAAGGCAUUUGCCUAGGGCGGCAGUUCGAGGGGGGUGAAGGGUAGGUGCAAAAAAAUGCCACCCCAAGCUCCCAGACAAAUGUCUUGUUUGCCUCGUGUUCUGGGGCUGUCCAUCUUACUGUGAGUGAGUGAUUGAGUGAGUGUAGCUGUCAGUGUGUGUCUGUGAGUGAGUGAAUGUGUGUGUGUGUCUUUCAGUGAGAAUGGGUGGUUCAGUGUGUGUAUGUCAUUUUAUGUGUAUCUGAGAAUGUGUGCCUGUCAGUGAGUGGGUGUGUCAGUGUGUGUCUGUCAGUGAACGUGUAUGUUGGUUAAACAGUGUGUGUCAAUGACUGGAUGUGUGUGCCAAUGACUGUGUAUCUGUCAGUGAGUGUAUAUCAGUGCAUGUAUCAAUGAGAGACUGUGUCUGUCUGUCAAAAAAGUGGCCUUGACACGAAUUGGGGGGGGCAAAUUUAGAUUUUAGGGGUGCCCAAAUUUUGUCGUGCCUAGGGCAGCACAAAUCCAAAAUAACCCAGAGUUACUUACACACUAUCACUAACACACACACCCUCACGAACACUCACUGUCACUUGCACACUCUCAUUAACACACACACACACACACACAGUCCCUUACACAUUCUCACUAACAUAGUGUCACUUGAACACUCUCACUAACACACACACAGUGUCACUUACACACUUUGACUUACACACACAGUAACUCAAACACAAACUCACAUCAUUGUACAUAAAGUCACACAUUAACACACACAAAUACAGCACACACGCAGGAAUUUACAACCAUGCACACAACAGACCACCCCACUUAGCCUGCCAUACCUGGGUGCUGUGAAGAGGAGAAGAAGUCCAGCCUCCAGGUAGCUGCUCUGUUACUGGUAGGGGGAAGCAGGAGAGCCAUGCACUGUGAGCACAGGCUGCUUCCUGUUCCUCUCAGAGUGCUUCCGGUGUUCACAGACGGGGGCAGCCGGAAAACCAGGUCGUAUCCCAGCUUCUCCUGCCUGCAGGAAGCAGUGUGCUCUGCUCGGUUCCUCUCCCUGAGCAGGCAAGCAGCAGAGAGCAGCCCAGCAGGUGAAUGGCUGCGCUGGGGGGUGGCUAAGGAGCCGCACACCCAGCACAGCAUCCCCAGGUAGCAGCAGGGCAACCAACCAGGAAACUUCCUAGUAUAUUUAAUGUACUGUCACUGAACGAUCAUAUGACUUGUUAGUAACUUACAACACUGCACGCAGGUAAGUAAAUACAUUUUAUAUACUUUCUUGUGGACUUGCCAAAAUCUCCUACCUAGGACAUUGUCUACAAGUCAAACGGCAGUACAUCAGAAUUAAAUGCAAAGGACCUGCCCCUCUGCUAGGUGAUGUUUUUAUUAAUUAGACAUUAAACUAGACAAGCUACGUCUUGUACUCUAAAGUUUGCAGGAGCUGUAUUGACAGUAUUUGCUUUUUAUUGUUGUGCUAGCAUAUUGAUAAGACUUGGCUGUUUUGGUCUGAUAAGGUUUUGCUGGGGAAACCGUCUUUUUGUAAAUAUCUGAAUGAGGGGCAAUAUUACAGAAUUUGGUUGAGUUCCACAACUUAUUGCUGGCAUAGUCCCCCAUUGUGAUGAUGUACUUGUUGCCCUUACAGCUUCUCUAUAAAGACAGAUCCACUAUAUCCCUGACCUCCUGCUAAAAGAGUUUGCUGACUGCGGGGUGAUACUGGAAUGGUGCCAGAAGAUGACCUCUGAGCUCUCAAUGUCCAGGCAGGAGUUAAAAGAGAUGCUAACUAUGGGAACUUAUUGUGACAUCCCAUGCCAAAAGGUCAGUAGCAAUCAUUACUUGUCAAUUUUUCCCCAAGAUCACCACUGGGGGAAGCUCAUUAACAAUCUGGUGAAUGUAUGUGUGUUACACUUUUUCCUCCAAGUGUGUCAGGAUAUUCCAGAUCUCCAGACACAAAAGUGCAGAAUCAUUCCUCCAGACGUAACCAAACAGAUCAGCAAAUUCUAAUUUCCCAUGAAUAGCACAGGCUGUAUAUUUUGCAUUCGUCUGUACCAACAUGCCAAAGAGCCUCAUGAUUGGACUCCAUGUCCACUUUGUGCCAUUAUUGUCCCAUUAUUGGAAAACUUGGUUGGUAAGGAUUUGGAACUUCAAGUCUAUGGCUACUUUGUUUUUAACUUGCCAAGGGAAUGUAGUACAAUUUGAACAAAUAUUAUUCUCCACAUACUUAUGACACGAAUCAAUAGAGCUUUCUUCUGGGGGUCCAGGAAGUAAGCAUGGUGAGGUAUUGGAGUGUGUCUGAGUGAUGUAUGCCACUAUGUACGUUUUUCAGAUGAAACAUUUGGAUGGCUUCUGGGGAAUAGUUGUAAGUAUAAAUUUAUGCUGAGCUCAUACAGCUUGGCUCUUUCCACUGCAAAAGUUAAUUACUUCAAUACCCUCAUAACCACACUCUCCCGCGAACCCAAACAACUAUUUCACAAAUUUAACUCUCUUCUUCUCCCUACUGUUCCUCCUCCACCUACUAACUUCACCGCCUCAGACUUUGCAACUCACUUCACUGACAAGAUCUCUAAAAUCAGAGAAGAGAUCUCUCAUCUUUCUUCUUCCCCUUACAAUACUUCCCCUAACUUCACUCCCUCUGCUGCUCUAUGUUCAUUCGCACCCGCUACAUUGGAACUCCCCAUCCAACUAUCGUCCUAUCUCGCUACUUCCUUUUGCAUCCAAGAUCCUUGAAAAAAUUGUGUAUGCGAGAUUGACAGACUUCCUCGAGUCCAACUCUCUGCUAGACCAGCUUCAGUCUGGUUUCCGCGCUAAGCACUCUGUGGAAACGGCACUGACCAAAGUAUCCAAUGAUCUACUCGCUGCAAAAUCUCGUGGUCACUACUCUAUCCUAAUUCUCCUUGACCUGCCUGCGGCUUUUGACACUGUUGAUCAUCAACAGCUUCUUCUCAUCCUCCACAAUAUCGGUCUACAAGAUAUUGCUCUCUCCUGGUGCUCCUUCUACCUCUCCCAGCGCUCUUUCAGUGUUUCUUUCUCUGGCUCUACUUCUUCUCCCCAACUCCUCUCUGUUGGUGUCCCCCAAGGUUCAGUCCUUGGUCCCCUACUGUUCUCCAUCUAUACUGCCUCCCUUGGUAAACUCAUUAGCUCCUUUGGCUUCCAAUAUCAUUUCUAUGCAGAUGACACGCAAAUCUACCUGUCCUCUCCUGAUCUCUCCCCGUCCCUCUUGACUAGUGUCUCUGACUGCCUCUCUGCUGUUUCUAACAGGAUGGCUGCCGACUUCCUUAAACUAAACCUGACCAAAACUGAAAUUCUGGUCUUUCCUCCCUCAAGUGUUGUUACUCCUGUGUCUGUCUCCCUCCAAGUCAACGGUGCUACCAUCAGCUCCACUAUGCAGGCUCGCUGCCUAGGUGUUCUCUUUGACUCCGACCUCUUCUUCAAGCCUCAUGUUCAAUCUAUUGCCAAAUCCUGUCAUUUCCAUCUCAACAACAUUGCGCGCAUCCGCCCCUACUUAACGCCAGAUGCGACUAAGGUGUUGGUCCAUUCCACUGUCCUUUCUCACCUUGACUACUGUAAUCCGCUUCUCAGUGGUCUUACGUGCUCCCAACUUGCGCCGUUACAGUCCAUAAUGAAUGCGGCGGCGAGGCUCAUCUUCCUGUCCGCCCGCACCUCCCAUGCCUCACCCUUCUGUCAGUCCCUACAUUGGCUUCCUAUAAAAUAUAGAGCUCAAUUUAAAAUUCUGGUUCUUGCUUUCAAAUCUCUACAUAAUGCUGCUCCCACCUAUCUAUCCUCCCUUAUACACAAGUAUGUCCCAUCUAGGCCCUUACGAUCUGCUGAAGACUUAUGUCUAUCUUCUGUCCGUACUCCCACCUCUGAUGCUCGCCUUCAAGAUUUCUCGAGGGCUGCACCGUUCCUGUGGAACUCGCUUCCCUCCUCCGUUAGAUGCUCACCCAGUCUCCACUCCUUCAAAAAAUCGUUAAAAACCCACUUCUUCAUAAAAGCGUAUCAAUUAAACUGUUAAUAGCUCCUGACUGAUUCCUCUUCUGCAACUGUCACUAGUCUAAUACUAUCCUUACCUUUUUGUGUCAUUUUACCCCACUCCCUCUAGAAUGUAAGCUCAUUGAGCAGGGCCCUCAAUCCCUCUGUUCCUGUGUGUCCAACUUGUCUGGUUACAACUACAUAUCUGUUCAUCCACCCAUUGUAAAGCGCUGCGGAAUUUGACGGCGCUCUAUAAAUAUCAUAAUAAUAAUAAUAAUAAUAAGUGUACAUUUGGGAGCUGGGAUUGGACUGUGAAGUCAGCUAUUGUCACAAUCUGGAAUAUAAAGAGAUUAUGUCAGCAUGGGAUUUAGUAUCUAUUAAGCAGUGGCAACUGUAUACAACCCUUAUAGCGUUAAAUGAAUAAAAAAAAUUAAAUUUUUCAUUAGGGCCUUGGUUUAAUAUGAUUGGAUAAGAUUUUCUAAUGCUGUAAUAUUUUUGGAUACAUUUUUAAAAAGAUUUAAUAAUAUGAAAAAUAUUUUAAAUUUGUAAUAUUUUAUAUACAUUGAUAUAUUUCUUUAUAUAUGAUGUAUUUUGUAAUAUUUUAAUAAAGUGAAAAAAUAAUUUCAAAAGUUUAUCCCAAAAUAUUAAAUCACAUGGAGAACUUAAACUUAGCAAAAUAUUGAAUUGAGGCUGAGUUCCUUAUAAACAGUUUUGCUGAGGAUCUAGACCAGGGGUAGGCAACCUUUGGUACUCCAGAUGUUGUGGACUACAUCUCCCAUAAUUCCCACAGUCAUAAUGCUGGCAAACCAUAAUACAGUAUAAAGAGGAUUAAAAAGGAAUAAAAACACUAACAAUGUAAUAAAGUACAACACGUAUAAAAUGGAACUGCCAGAAAUAUACUCACUAGUAGGUAGAUGGUUGUGUCGCCUUAGGGUGCCUCCCCUUGGAAUUCUGGGGGGCUAGUCCAUGUUUCCUCCUCUGGAGGGAGGGGGGGAGGAAUAGUCCAUGUCUCUGCCAGGGAAAUCUAGAUUCCAAUGGUCUUCCAGAAUAUGUAUGUAUUUAAUUUACAGAUAAAAAUAACAAAUAGUAAUGAAAACAUAAUUAAUAAAAGUGGGCGGUCCUACACAUUUUAUCCCAAAAUAGAACUUCUUCAGGGGGCCAAAAAGUGAAACUAGAACUCAGUGAUGAUGUAUGUGUUCCACAUAGUGGCCAUUUGCGUUCCAUCUUCGGUUAACAUUUUAUACUACAUCUCUCAUAAUGCUCUUACAGUCAUAAUGAUGGCACAGCAUCAAGGAAGAUGUAGUCCAUAAUAUCUGGAGUGCUGAAGGUUGACUAUGUCUGAUCAAGACGUUCGUUGGUUAAACUAUAUAUAAUUUUAGAUGCUCAAUUUUAAUGUUGCCUUGGCGUAUGGUACAGCAUUGAGAUUUGUGGACAUUUAUAUGUACAAAACUGUAUUUAAACACUCUACACACCAUUGUUCAAGAGUUAUGGUGAACAUUUUUGUGCCAACUCUUCUGUAGAAGCCAAGUAAAAGAACCAAAAGUGCCAAGGCCUAUUUUCUCAUUUUAAAUCUAUUUCUUUUGUUACUUUCCUUCACAUUUCCUCAUUUCCCCUACAAUUGUGUUUCUACUCCAUUGCACAGUUGACUAUCCAUAUGUGUUUCUUGCCCCCUUCAUUUAAAACUUUCAUCUCCCUUCUACAUCUGUUUCCAUUGACCACUUGAUAUCAUAAGACUUUUUUUCUCUGUCUGACUUCUUUUAUCUGUCUCCUACUUUCAUACCAGACACAAAAUUAAACUGUCAGGAUCCAAACCAUAAUUUUGGUAUUACAUUCCUUUCAUUUAAGUUUAUAUCUGCAGUAACUAUGUUUUGCCAUUAGUGGCCUUCCUAACCACUAUGUAUGAACUCUCAUCCUCACCUGCCUGGACUGAUUACUCAUGCUAUAAGAGGCCACACCUUGCUAAAGGAAACUGCCUUUACAUUGAUUGAGGUUGUGGUUCUGGACGUGACAUGACAUGACUUCUGUUCCUGUCUCAUAAUGAGAAACCUGCUCAUCUCCAAAUACCUUUGGAAAUCUUGAUUUAUUCAACCAACCUGCUAGUUUCCAGGCUGCUCUUUUCUAAGAAGCUUGGUAACAAAUCCUGAUUUCCAAUUCCAACCUGCUUUAUUUCAUAUUGGACUUUAUUAUCUUUUUACCUUGUUUGCAUACCAACUUUAUAACUACCGGAGUCAACUCAACCGACUUGCUUUAUUCAUACUGGACUUUGUUAUCUCUACUUUUGUUGCAAAACCCUUUUACUCCAACGGAAUUCAACACAACAUACCUGGAUAAUACUGACUAUUCUAUUUGCUACUAUCCUGAAUAACCCUGCUACAAUUAUCUGAUAUCUGCAUUACUGCCUCCAACCAAAAGACUCUGAAUGACUACAUGUCUAUUUAACUUGAAUUCAUUAUAUCUUCAUAUUUAUUUAUCUCACUUAUUAUAUUAUGUUUACCUAUUGUGCCGAAAGCAACUUUGCCACUGGUUUUUGGAGGGGCCUGCUUGCCCGCCUCCUAGCUUGUGACUAUGGGCCCUGUGAUAACCCAUGUUCAAAAGUACUGUUUCUGCCCCUUGGACUUUUAACUGGAACAGAUUCAAACAUGUGGCGGCGGCCAUCUUAAAUUGUCCAGCAGUGUUUUAUCGUUGAGUGUAUGGAACUGUUUUGGCCAUUGGACCAUGUGCACGGUGGGGCAAAAAUAAGACUUCCAGGAAAUUCCUGAACCAAUCUGGAUGAUUUUUAGAUAUGUUGUUCACCCAGAUCGGGGCUAUCAGAGGAUAUGGGGAUAUGGGGAUAUGUUGUAUUUUGGGGUACUUUUUGGGGUUUGUAAAAAUGUAUGUUUUCUUCUGCUUAGAGUUAAUUGAGUUAGUCCAUUGUCUUAAUUAAUUAUCACAGGCAGAGGGGAGGGAUUGUGUACACUGUAUGGGAGUGACUGAAGGUGAAAGUAUGUUUUUAUUGGCUUGUUGUUCCUGUGUCCCUGUGCCCCACAAGGUGUACCUGGGUGGUAACCUUGUGGGGAAAACGGUAUAAAAGACCAAGCUGUUCAAUAAACCCUCAGAUCUGCUGUUCCUGUUUGACCCUCAACACGUAGUCUUGUCUCGUGAUUGAAGGGCAACUGCUAUAAUCUGUAUACUCCCCUGGGUUCUAAUCACUUAGCUCUUUUAAGAGCUGUUCCUGAUAUGCUUUCCUGGAGGAGAGGUCUUCCCACCAUGGUCCUUGAUGUCGGAGGUUGGUCCAGGGUGGAAGGAAGACGGCGAGACUCCAGUUAAGCUAUGAUGGUUGUGGAGUCUGCAAAGGUUGUGGUGUCCGGUGCAGUGCUUAUAGUCCUCGGCGUCAGCUAGGAGGCAUCCGCCAACGGAGAUACCCAGUCGGGGUGCCAGGUGAUCCGUUACACUUAUAAUUUCUCUUAUAGGUUUUUCCUUCUCUUGAAUUACCUGUAAAUCUCACUUAUAACAUUCCCUAUCACCUGAUAUCAGCUUGGGGCAUAUUGCCUAAACCACUGUUUCUGUUAUUUCAUCCUCUACCUAUAAUUUCGCUUAUAGCUUCUCCUUCUUCCUCCUAACCUAUAACUUCGCUUAUAGGUUAUCCUUCUUCCUCCAAAACUAUAAUUCCAUUUACAGGUUUUACUUUUAUUUCUUUAUAUCCUGUUAUUUACCUAUAAUUCCAUUUAUAGGUUCUACUUAUAUCUACUUCUCUAUAACCUGUCUGGGGCUUAUUGCCUAAACCCUUAAUUCUAUAACCCUCAUUAUUACUUACCUGUAAUCUCAUUUAUAGGUACUGCUUUAUCCCUCUUGUCUUUAUUUCUUUUAAGUCUUGCUUCACUUAAUAUUAUUUCACGUUUAAAACAUGUCUAACAAUUCCAAUAAAGAACCUUAACUUAACCCCAGUGUAAGUCUCUUUACUGACCUGAUCAGAACCAUGACAUAAACGUUACUUUGUCUGAAUCACUUCACUUUCACCAGUAUUUACGCCCAUAUUAUCCAUGUAAUAUUUAAAUACACACCUCCUACACACUUUGUCCACAACCAUUCUCAUCCUCCAUAUCUUUUCUCAAAUAAGGCCUUUUUUGUAGAACUUCUAAUCCCACCAUUCCAAAUCAGUUAACCUUUCAUGCUGGCAGCUUCACUCAUAGACUUUCCCUUCCUCUCCCAGCAAACAGCAAAAUCCCAUGUGGGGUUCUCUACUCCCAUCUACUCCCUACAUCUGCACUGCUAAAAAACUUUGUGGAUUGCGAUAUAAUCUGUCCUUUAACAUCGAUAGCUAUUUUGGUUACAAUUUAGCGGCCCCCGAAUGCCAGAUUUAGUGCCUGUGGCAUAGGUUUCAUUCAUUGCUACUGAACAUUGUGUUCACUGUUUAUUGGAAUUAGGUGGGCUAAUUUUUUUUGGUACUUGUAUAUUUCACUUAUCAGUUAUAUAGUGCUGUAAAUUAUGUUGGUGUUACAAAUAAAAUGUAUACUAAUGAGAGCAAUUACCAUAUCCAUAUGUAGCAAUUCUGUCACUGCACUAGUCGUAAAUUUAAUUUAUGCAGUAAGUGUAGCAUCAGUGAAUCCACAGUGUAUUUUUAAUAUUUCAUAGGAAGUGCUUCUUACCAAUUAUAUUAUAUAAUUAAUAUCUAUAUAUCAUUCAUUUUCAUUAUAAUGAGCAGAAGAACCCUGCGUACAGAAGGUUUCAAUUAUAUGGGACCAUGGCUAAUCCAGAGAUACAAGUAACAAAGUGAUCAUGCUGCCAAUUGUAAAUAUAAUUAGAAACAUUAUCACAACUGUAAGUAAAAUGAUGUUUCAGCCUAUAAUUGUAUUACCAACAUCAUGUGAUAGAAGUUAGUUCACAUGCCCUUAUAAUCCAAACUAUUGAAGCAAACUAUUCUUUUUACCUUACUGCAGUGAAACAAGGCACCUUCAUCUCUUAUGGUAAGUCAAAUGUGCCCGAACAUACUAGGAACUAUAGUUCACAAAAAUAUAUGGUGCAAAGUAAGCCAUAGCUGUUCUGAUCAUGGUCACUAAAAGUUUGUCCUUGAUGCUUACACUGAUCUGGUAGAUAGACUCUAGGUUCUUCACUGAUCUGAAAAUGCAGAGCAUUGCUGCCUGUCAUUUGCUAAUCAUUUCCCAGUCACCUAAAAUUCCUUAUUUAGUAUAUACUCUGUUUUUGACUGUGAGGGCCCACCAUCACCACUGUUGAAUAUACAUCCUGAGACAGGGAUUGUACCGUCCACGCUCAAUACAUGCUCUUUGCAGCUCUAUAAAGUGUGAGUGAUUUCUCUGUAUUAGUCAAUUUUGUGUGUUUUUUAAGGACAUAUUUGUGAUUGUUUUAUUUUUUUUUCUUUGAAAUAUUAAAUAUUGUAUAAAGGAUAAAGAUCUCAGUCGUAUGUAUGUAUAUCUAUUAUAUAUAUGACUUCACCUAUGGGCUACACUGUUUGUUAGGCGCUGCCAUCUGCUGUUUGUUUUUUGACUGUGAGGUGCAAGUGUAAGGGUUGUAUUCAAUGUAUUGGUUACUGCACAGGGAGCUAUGUCCAUGCAAAUAGCAAUGCUCUCUAGGACAGUGGUUCCCAAACCAGUCCUCAUGGCCCACAAACAAUCCAGGAUUUAUUAUUUCCCUUUUUUAUUUCAAUAGAGGUACUGGCAAAACAUGAACUGUUGCUGGGUUGUGAGGACUGGUUUGGGAACCACUACUCAAAGAUAUUAAAUAGGCACAGUCUUGUAGAAUCAAUUAAAAUCUUCUAGACAAUUUCUUGUGCAGUCCACUCCAGGAAGCAGCAUUAGGAACAUAAAUCACACAAAAAAUUCCUACAAACAAAAUCCUAGCUCAUCUGAGCUCUUACUAACAGAGAUAUCCUUUACUAUCAUGGUUUAAACUAAAUAAAACUGAAUAAAAUACAGGUUUUCACCAACCUUACAGAAUGUCAGAGUUUGAUGCUCUCCAGUCCUAGUAUGCUGCUUCUUGCAAUCAAAAGAGAAAAUAAGUCUCCCUCGUCUAUCUUCUAGGCAGGGAUUUAUUUAAUUUUCUGCUCCUAAUUACUUGCAGCUGAGCCGUGUGUUGAAGUGAGAAUGUCUCUUAGUUGUCUGUAAAUGACCCACUCUACUCUUCUAUUCUCUGCCCCAGGGGCCCACAUCUAACCAUAUUUCUCAUUACGUUGCAAACAAUGCACACUACCCCCGGGGCUAAACAUCAUACACCUCUCUAAAAUAUCUAGAGGACAUAGUUAUACACGCCAUCACAGAUAACACCAUGCACCUUAUCACAGGUAGAAAGUGGUCAAUCCCACUUAUAAUUGUGUUUUACUAAUUAUUUUAGUUCAGGCCUCCUCUAAUAUGGCUAUAUUGGAGACUCAGAGCUGUUAUCCCGGCAAAGGGAGAUAGCACAAAAUAUUGACUCGAAGUGUGCCAAUAAUUGUUCCACACAUAUAUUUCACAAAGAUAAAAAAAAAAACCCUGUGUUGUGUUUGCAAUUGUUUGAUAUCCAUGAGAACAGAGUAUUUUUGUGUUUUUUUUUUUUUAUUAUUUAUUUUUGUAGUACGUAAAAUUGUAACAGUUGCUUGUGAGGUACCCUAAAUCAAUCCUCUAGCGCAUUUCAAACAGUAGGGCAUAGAGGUACUUGUUAAAUCAGGCAUAUAUUUUAUACAUAUAUACAAAUAAUUCGAGUAGUAAACAGUAUGUAUUAUCAUUGUUUAAUCUCAUCUAUGACAUAAACUAACUUCGUUGACAAUGAGAGUAACAAUCAGGCCAGGACGAGGCAGUAUGAAACUGGGAUAAACAGUGCUAAACACUCCCUUCCUAGUGUCUGGCUACACAGGGUUAUACAGUUAAUGUAGUUUUAAGUGUGCUAUGCUAGAUGAAAGUUGAAUAAAGUUAACAUUUUUGUUUUAUACACAUGCUUAUAACGAACAUUGCACAGGUUAAAUGUAAACAAGAAAAACAAUAUGAGGCUUGUGUCUGUUGUUUCUAGGUAUUUGUCUGGGAUAUGUGUUGAUGUCAGUGUGGACUUCGAGCUUUUACGGGUACAUAGAUAUUGUCGAUGAGCGAGGACUGUACUAACAAGUGUUGACGGCAUGCUUGGACACCCGAGUAGCCAUAAAGAGGUUUGGAACGUUCUUCAGGUAUAAGGUGAAAGUGAGAGUAUGUGUGUAUCUGCAGCUAGAUGUUUGUGUUGCUUAUGUGUCUGUUUGUAUGUGUACAGGCUCAAGUGGGUCUACUAUUUUAAGGCGUAGCAACGCUUUGCAUGAGAAAAACAAAAAAUGCAUUUAAUAAUCGAGGGAUCUUGUCUCCGUGAGGUCCCUUGUGAUAGGCGUGGGAGUCCAGAUAGCGUUUGCAUGUGAGUAUGCAGAGUUUUACGUCCAGGUGUUGGGCCUGGUGUCGCACACUUGGACAGUCCUGGUUUCCCUCAGCCUAUGUAUUUCAGGGGUAGGUUCAAGUCCCAUCCGGUGGGGCCACGCAGCCGGUCCAGUGAGGUGAGUACCCGCAGUAGAUUCCAUUGCUGAUAUGUCAGACGUUGGGGGGGUCUGUAGGCAUGCGAUCCUGUUUGGUGGGCCUUUCCCUGCAGAUCCCAGAGUCAUGCUGGUGUUGGAGCUGCCAUGUGGGGGAAUUAGGGGACCGGGUGUCCCUGAUCGUUGGGCUUGGCAUUGGCCCCUUGCUGUCCCUUUGUCUCCUGGUGGGUUAGGGCGGUGAGUGUUAGGGAGUCCUAUAUUGAUCUGUAGACCCUAAGGGGUGUUGUUCUGAGGUGGACCCUGAGAGUGCGGGGCCGGUUCUUAGGAGAGGCCUUAUGCGGGAGAGAGGGAUGGUCCUGUGGCAGCCCUGGAGAUCGUCUCCAUUGGGGCUUUGGGCAACUCACCAGUGGCCUAUGAGUCGGGCUCUGGAGCCGUCGACGGUUCUUCCGCUGUCCUCUCCCCACUGUCCCGGUCUCUCUCAGGGUCCGCACCGGUAUUGCUGGCUUUUGUGCAGUGUCCUCUGUAGCUGGUGCCGGUGGGAUUUUCAUCACGGUGUCUCUGCGGCUGGCAAUCCUGGCCCAGAAGUCAUUGAAUAAGAGGUCUAACCGCUCUGACACUGGUGGCAAACUGGGCUCAGAUGCCGGGACCUAUGUGGCGUCCACAUUGCUGUGAGUCUGCGGCCCGAUGGUGCAGGUGAGCUGGGGUCGGUACCUCCGUCCUAACCUGCAUGCUCUGGAUGCCGGGAUAUCCCUCGCUGGUGGGGGUGGGGGGAGAGGUUGUUCCGGGUAGACCUUCAUUAAAGUAGGCUGCAGUCGGCUGAGGGAUCGGCCGUCUCCCACAUGCUUUCUGAGUAGGCCGCAGGUAGGCCUCAGGUCCCUCCCCUGGAAGCGGUCGCCUUUUUAGGUCAAUGUCUCGGUAGUGCAUCAUCUCGAUUGUAUACCCCUAUUCCUGGGGUUGAAAAGCUUGGAAUAUGCAGUUUUUGCAGUAGUUUUGCUUGUUUUAAGAUUAUUUAUUCCAGAGCUCGGCUGAGGUGCGUCCGCUAAGUUUGGCUGUCAAACUCCGCCCCCCAUUUCUUUUGUUUUAAACAAAAAAUCUAAAGGUUAAACAAGAGACAAUUUUCACAUCCUUCUUUGGUCAUAUUUACCAAGGCUGCCAUUAUUAUUGGAGGGCACUGUAUGUGCGGAUUAUUGUUGGCAGAGUGUCAAUGGGCUCUUUUAAAAAAAUAUAUUUUUUAAUUCUUUAUUUUUUGCCGCUUUUAGUAGGGUCAUCAAAUAGAAGCAUACAGUUCACAAUCACAUUAGAGACAGUUGUCUGAUUCAGUACAUUUUGAUAUCACUUUGAGUGCAUAAUCCAUGCAACCAAGCUUAAUCCCAACAAACACACUUAUAGCUUUGGAAGUUGCAAGACAUUUGGCAACGAUUAUCGAGGUUGGGUCUAUACUGUAGGUACGUACAAUCAUACAUGUCUGUUCGUUGGUAUAAACAUGCCCAAUGGAAUUGCAAGUGGCCAAAGGCCUAGUAGGAGGAUGCCCUGCUCUACUGAUACUUCCUGUCUAUAUUGGUGCUAUGAGUAUGUGUGUCUCUACAUCAGUUUUUUUCACCCGCCUUAUGAGGUUUUUUUUAAUUUAGUUUAGUUUUUCUUUCUGGUACUAUUAGGUCAAUGGGCUCAUUUUAAAGAGGUCUUCUGAGAGAUGAUUUUAUUGUUGCAUAGUAGCUGCUGUGAGGAUGGCACAUAUUCCUUCUGCAAUGGGGGAUUUUAAACACAGAGUGUUAGAAAAAUGUAAUUGCAAAACUCUUGCAGUGAGGGAAAUGUGAGAAGUUUGAAUUGGAUGCAAAUUGCAAUACAAUAAUAUGUUUCUGACAUUAAUUGUAGGAUUAAACAACUGCAAAUCCUCCAUGAUAUUUUGCAGUAUACAUUAGUUUACUUUUGGUGGGACAAUUCCUCUUUGAAAUCCAAAUCCCUUUGUCCCUCUUUUCUAUCAUCAUGAAUCCCAACUGUCCGAGAAGUCACACUGUUCAGAUCUGGAAUCCAGUCUGCUAUACUGUAUCGUUUCUCUGGAUUUCUCUGCCUCCGUGCCAUUGAAUGUGUUUACACAUGUAUUUGUGCCAAAUUAAAAUUGAGCUCUGUUUGUCUACUAUGGCCAUGGGCAUCAAGUUGGACAGCCUUGGUGAGUGCAUUUGUUGUUGCAUUAUUGUUUUCUUUCUAGAGAAAAUGCCUUUUGUGCCUGUCAUAAAAAGUGUGCCUGUCAUAAAUAAUUACACAACUUAAAUUAAGGAUCAUAAAUUGCUGACAUAAUUGGUAGCAAAUUUAUUGCUGUUUUUUUUUUUUUUUUUGCCAAUCAGUUCUCAGCAUUCAGGACUUUGCUACCAGUGCAUGCACUGUAGUUGCUGCGAUAAGUCUUCUGUCGAGCAUGUCUUGUUCUAUGACUAAAGUAUAUGGGAAGAGAUUAACAAAUGCUACUCUGUUGACACACAGGUGCAAUGGAUAAUAAUUUCACGCAUCUGAUCAAAGAGGACUUAAAGAGAAACAAUCACUUUCAACAUUUUAGCACAGCUUGAUAAGUAAACAUCAGCUAUUGAUUGCUAGUUCUUAAAUAAUGUUGUGACAUAAAGCAAGGGUAAACUAGGAGAUGCACUGAAAAAAACAAGCCAUUUUGCAUGUAUGCAAUGCAAAAUAAUAUACAUAGACCAUAGUACAUGCAUUAUUACAUGGUGACAUUUUGUUUUCCUUUAAGGAGAUGUUAUCACUUAAAGUGAUCUUGGCAGGUUCACUUUAAUAAGUUUGGCUUGAAGAGCAAAGUGAAUUACCCUUAACAGUAGUAGUAACACUUUCCUGCGUGGUAAAUCCAUGCAGCUCAAAGUUAUCACCAUUGCUCAGUCUUAUCUAAUAAAAUGUACUUUUUAAUUUAUGCAAAAAUGAAUGAUGAAUGGAUCACUGAGAAAGGAGUAGUGCUUGUGUGUUUUGCAGCAGGUGCGGAGGAUGUGGCUGCUGUCUGAGUGGGCGGCGUGACUCAAUCGACUUUGUUGGCACACUGCCUAGAACAGGUGAGGAAGUUGGGAGAUGAAGCAACAAUGACAGAUGUGAAAUAUUAAUACCUUACACUCCUUCAUCCACACUGUGCUGUCAUUGAGUUAUGUCACUAUAUGUAUAGAAUUGUUCUUGAAAAUUAUAGUUUUUAUAAAGCUGGCAUAGGCACUUGACUAACUUUGACAACCAUCAAUCUGCCACAACCUGGGCAUUCCUUACUGUCAGAAAAUCCCAGCAGUUGUAGAUAGUAAACAUUUGGAUUGCCGCAGAUAACCUAUAGUUAUUUUAAACCAGACUUGUACAUCGGCUAAAUUUGGUCCGAUUGGCUUUACAGCAAAAUUUCGUAUCUCCGAAGUGCCAUGCCAAUAUAUAACAGAACAAACGACUAGUGAGGUGGACGAACAUAUUACUUUGAUUCCGUAUUUUUAGUUCUGCCCACGGUGCCCCCCCCAAAAAAGAAGAAAAGAGCUGUGUAAUUGGAAAUAAAAGAUGAUUGAUGGCUAGAGGACAGCCACUAAAUGUUGAUUUUUAUUACACAGUUUAAGUGAAAAGUGACAAAUAAAAGGAGAGAAUGUAGGAGUUGUGAAAAAAUACAUACCGUAUUUACUUGAAUCUAAUGCACCAUUGCAUCUAACGCAGAUUCAAAUUUUGGGAACUUUAUUUUCCAAAAAAGCGGCAUAUUAGAUUUGAGUAAAUAGGGUAUAUUUAUGUAUUAUAUAUUGAAUAAAUAUAUUAAUAUAUAAAUAAAUAUAUUUUAAUGCUCCUCCCCUUUCUAAUAUAUUGGUUACUAUAUAAAUAUAUAUGCACCUUGCGGAGCACUGCAAAAGAUAUACAUAAUUUGUGGUCUGCUUUCGAGUAUCUGGCCUUUGCUUUGUAUGAUUCUUUCUUUUGUCCUGCUGCCCAGGGUUGACGAUAAAGUAUCCCUUUUUUGUUGCUAUUUUGGAGGCCACAAUAAUCAAAAUAUAUUGAAAUAUUGGCAGUGGAAGCUUAUUGUAUUAUUGUAGAAAGUUAAAGGAUUUUUAAUUUACGGAGGCAUUUCACAAACAUUUAACUGGAGCAAAUUUCUGAUCAGUGUGUGCUUUUGAGUUUUUUAGUUCAAACACAAAACGUUCUUUAAAAACUACAAGACUAAUUAGCAGCUUUGACUUUGAAAGUUAUGUUUGUGACUUAAAAAGUAUCUUCUUUAUUAUGGUAUUAUUUUUAGAUUCAGUCGAUAUUGAUAUAAAAUAACUGGGUUUUAGACUUGUUUUUCAUGAAAGGAAUUAAACAUGUUUUAUACCUCUUCUGUUACAAAGUUAAUUACACAUCCCUUUGGGUUUAUAUAACUAGACUCAGGGCCGGCGCGUCCAUAAGGCGGCACAGGCGGCCGCCUUAGGGCGCACCGGCCAGGGGGCGCAAAUGUCCGGGUGGCCGGCAGGAGGGAAGCGCACAGCGUACAGCAGAGAGCAGCAUAAGGCAGAGAAGAGGGGGGCUGGGCACUGAGCAGGACUAGCUCCUCCAACUCCCAACUACCUCAGGCAGCACUCUGGAUCCCAGGUAAGCCACCCUCCUGAUCCCACAAAGUAGGAAACAGGAGAGUGGCUAGAAAAGUGUAUAUUUUGCCCAGCAUGUGUGUGUAUCUGUGUGUGUGUGUAUGUGUAUGCCUGUCUGUGUGUAUGUCUGUCUGUCAGUGUCUGUCUGUCAGUGUGUCUGUGUGUAUCUAUGUCUGUCAGUGUGUGUGUGUCUGUCUGUUAGUGUGUCUUUGUGUGUGUGUGUAUGUAUGUCUCUAUAUGCCUACCUCUAUGUUUCUUUAUGUCUGUGUCUGUAUUUCUGUGUGUGCCUGUGUCUGUAUGAAUGUAUGUCUGUGUUUGUACGACAAUGUAUCUGUAUGUGUAGAUUGUAUGACUGUGUUCAUUUUAUUGUGUGCCUUUUAUGACUGUGUCCCUUUAAAUCUUUGUGACUGUGUGCCUGAAUAAUUAUGUCUAUGUGCUUGUAUGGUUGUGUGUCUGUAUGUUUUUGUAUUUGUGCAUGUAUGUAUUUUUGUCUGUAUCUAUGUCUAUAUGGGAUAAAAAGAGAGAUAGAUAGGGGCUGGGGGGAAGAAAGAGACAGAAAGGGGCUGGCGGGGAAGUAAUAAAUACAUAAGAGGGGUUGUAGGAGACACACUAAAGGAGGGUGUAAGGCACAAAGGGACAUUCAAGAGAGUGGAUAUGCAACACUAAUGGGGGUAAGAAAUUCAAAAGGGGGCUACGAGAGACAGAGGUGAAGAUGCAUUGGGUUUUUGGAGUGCGGGGACGGCGUCAAAAUGCAUCUUCGCCUGUGUAGUCAAAAAUCCUAGCACCGGCCCUGACUAAACUUUAUAUCAAAUAUUUGAACGUUCUCUAAAUACCACCAGUAUGCUCUGCAAAAAUCUGAUUAGCAAUCACUGCUUACUAUGCCAUGUAUCAAAUUCCUUGAUACUAUAAAGGUGAUGGGACAUGUUGGGCCCUAUUUAGAUUUAUAACUUUUUUCAUUUUUAUGAAUAAAAGACCAAAAGCACAAAUAAGAAAACAAAGUACCAGUAAAACCAGCCUAUUAUGCAUUGUUUUUCCAUGCAAUGGUCCAGCUAACCAAAGUUUUGUUUUUUUAAUAAAAUUUUUCUUAUUGAAAAGAGAGAUGUAAUACAAAGUUGAUAAUGUCAACAUUAUCACAGACCCUUUUUUAAAAAAAAAAAAAUGUCUUUAUUUCUUUAUUCCGGUGAUGAUUGUAUACACAGGAUUAACAGAGGAACAUUUGCAUAACAAUACCAAUACAAGGUGAUGCCAUAAAGUCAUUCGUAUUUUAACAGCAGGUUUAUAUUCAACUUUUUGCGUUAUGCGUUAACAUUCCUAACCAGUAAUCAGUUGUCUUUCUGAAUUGCAUAUGGCCAGGCCUUUGAGCUUCAAACCACCCUGAACAGGCCUAUUCACCCACAUAAUAAUAUAACAACUUACUGGUGUAUGAGAGCCCGUCUCUCUCAGUACCAUUUAGGAAACCAGGUUUUCUGAAGGAUUUCAUAGCGCCAGGCUGGAUUUGAAGAAUCUAGUGAGAAAUAAGUAAAGUAGGAAAAAGAAGAAAGGGCGAGAUAGAAGAAGGUUAAUUACCGAUGUAGGACAUGGAGGUAGAGAUGGUGAGAGGAGGUGUUACUAUCAGUCCUUAUGGGUUUUUAUCUGGUAUGCAGGCGGGGGAGGCAGAGGGGCUAGACCCUGCCCUUAGUUGCGUCUUAUUGUAAGUCAACUGAGAAUGGGUCUCCGUUACUUGGAUUCAGCCUGGCACCCCACCCAUUCUUCCCACCUGUCCCAUGCAGCUAUCUUUUUAUAAGCUUAGAAUAGCAUAUAAAUGAAGAGCAUAUAUAAAACAAAUGAUAUAAAUAUGCUAUUGUUGCAAUAAAUCCAAUAGUAGACAGAAUGUUCUUAUAUUAAUACAAUUGUAUCACUUAGAAUAAAAGUUCAUAACAGUCCGUGAAUAAUGUUAGCUGUUUCAGCUUUUACCAGUUAUGAACAAACUGGAAUAGUGGAUGCUGAAUUAGCUGAAUUAGUAUAGUACAAAUAUAUUUGAUUGCAAAUAUAGCAAUAGUGAUUAGCAAACAUACUUAUGUACUUGUGAAAAAAGAAAUAAUAAUCACUAGCAGGUCAUAAUUAGUGACUUGCAGUAUAAUAGGAAGAAAAUCCCUCCGGUCUUGCAGAGACUAAUGCAAAGAUGCUUUCUGUGUUAAAAAUGAAUAGAUUUAUUGUCCACAGAAUAAAAUUAAGAUUGCACUUACAAUUGAGCAAAGAGCUAAAUAUGCUGAGCUGGAAUCGGGAAAGUAUGGUGUUAGCAGCUGUUAGGUGCUGGUCCUGCCGGCAGAUGAUGCUGGGAGCCGCGUGCGUGUCACUGAUCUUCCUGCGUUCCAGAUACAGCCUGUUCGUCUUUAUGGUAAGUGCCAGAAAGUGAAAUAAUGUCCUUACGCGUUUCGUGAGUCUGCUGCUCACUUCAUCAGAGGUUGUUGAGCAGGAGAGACCCACGGGUUUAAAUAGCCAGUGGUUACUUUGGCUUUUGUUAACCCUUUCAGGCUGAAAUCCAUACUUGCUCUGUCUCAUAGUAUAUUUCACAGUUGUAAUUCACAAUUAUAAUUCAUAUAAGUUCUAAAUGUUUUUAUACACAUAUAUUUGAAUAACUUUAAUAGUGAAAAAGAUACAAAUGAAUAAAAAAUAAUAAAAAAUAAAAUACAUUUUAUACUAAAACUUUCAAUUGCAAAAUUUUUUUUUUUAAUGAAAAAGGACUUUGAUAUAUAAGAUUCUAGUUCAUUAAAAGACUAUUGGAAUAUUUUAAAAGGGGAUCCUCAACUAGAUCAAAUAUUGGAAAAGUGACCUAGAAUUAUAUAUUCUAAAGCCCCAAAUCUAAGUCUACUAUUAGCUCCAACAACUAAACAAGAAAAAAUACAAGAAAUUAAUAAUAUUUCAAAGAAAACCUUAGGUUUCUGGAAAUGUGGAAGAUGUCAAGCCUGUAAUAAUAAUCCAAAUCAGCCAACUAAAACCACACAAUUUGCCCAUCCCCAAACAAAAGAAUGUUUUAAAAUUAAAUCGCAAUUAACAUGUGACACAAAGGGUGUGAUUUAUCUAUUAAAAUGUCCAUGUGAAAAACUAUAUAUAGGACGCACAAAAAGAACAUUUAAAAUAAGAAUGGGAGAACAUAUCAGGAACAUCAAAAAAGGACUCCAUUCUCAUAAUCUUUCCAAACACUUUGACAUUAAACAUGCAAAAAAUCCUGGAGGUCUCAACUUUAUGGCAAUACAAAAAGUCAAUAUCCCAUGGAGAGGAGGCGAUUUAGAAAAAGAAUUAGAUAAAGCAGAGGCAAGUUGGAUAUUUAAAUUAGAAACAUUAGAACCAAAGGGAUUAAAUGUAGAUUUUGAGUUGCGAGCAUUUUUAUAAAAACAAUUUUUAGAAUACCUUUUAUAAAAUUAAGUAUUCUUUUUUUAUGUCUAUUUAUAUUUUUAUUCAAUCAAUGAAUUAUUCUUCUUUUUAGUUCAAAUGAUUUCUCCUUCAUAUCAGUCUCCUAUAUAAUAUAACACUAUUGUUCUCUUAUAUAGAAUUAUUUUCGUAUGUAUAUGUAAAAAUUUUUUUAAUGAGUUAUGAAAUCUCUUUUUCCAAUAAUAUGUCUAUAUUAAUUAUUUAGAUUAACUGGUAUCCACUGAUCUUUACAAAUGCAUUGCAUGGAAAUUAUACUAUUUGAAAAAUAUGCUGACACAUCUAUUUUAUCAGACAUUCCAAUAGAGUCUUUUAAUGAACUAGAAUCCUUUUUCAUUAAAAAAAUGUUGCAAUUGAAAGUUUUAGUGUAAAAUGUAUUUUAUUUUUUAUUAUUUUUUAUUCAUUUGUAUCUUUUUCACUAUUAAAGUUAUUCAAAAAUAUGUGUAUAAAAACAUUUAGAACUUAUAUGAAUUAUAAUUGUGAAUUACAACUGUGAAAUAUACUAUGAGACAGAGCAAGUAUGGAUUUCAGCCUGAAAGGGUUAACAAAAGCCAAAGUAACCACUGGCUAUUUAAACCCGUGGGUCUCUCCUGCUCAACAUCCUCUGAUGAAGUGAGCAGCAGACUCACGAAACGCGUAAGGACAUUAUUGAAAAUUCCUUAUUACCACUUCAAGGAAAUUCCAGCUCAAACAGACAAACACCUUUUCCACGUCUAGGUAAAGCAUGAGCCCCUUUGUCCCUUGUUUCUUCAUUGAAUGCAUAAUAUCCAGCACUCUCCUCGUGUUGUCUGUCCCUUGUCUACCUUUCACAAAUCCAUAUUGGUCAGGGUGCAUUAAUGUUUUGUGGAUCUGAGUUUAGCAAAGAUAUGAGCCUGAAGUUUCUACAGCCUGUUAGGGGUUUACCUGGUUUUGGGAGGUUAAUCACCGUUGCGGCAAUCAUGUCUUGGGGCAGUUUAGAAUGUUGGAUUGCAUUGUGAAAUAAACAGAGCAGGUGAGGGGGCUAAGGUUUUGCAAAUUUUUUUAUAGUAAAUGAUUAAAAGGCCAUCUAGGCCUGGUGUUUUGUUGGCUUGGAGGUUUUGAAUAGCUGCCUCAAUUUCUUCUAUGGUAAUUGGUUCUGACAGAAGCUCUCUUGGAGUGGAGGAGAGUGUAGAUGUCUGUAUGUGUUCUAGUAAUGUUGUGGAUUCAGUUACAGUAGAGGGGUGCUUUUUUGUCCCUUUUUGUAUGUUAUACAGCGUCUCAUAGAAGGUAGCAAACUCAUUGCUAAUGGAUGCUGGGGAAAUGACCUUAACAUUAGCAUCUGUUUUAAUAUAGGGGAUUUUUGGAUCUAGCGUGGAUAUCUUUCAGCGCGGAAGCUAAUAUUUUCUCUGCUCUAUUUACCUGUGUGUAGUGGAAAAGCUUUAGUCUUUAACAGGAAACUAGUACAUUGCAAGUAUGCCUCCUGGAUCUUAUAUUGGGUCUGCAGUAUUUCCUUUCUAAGGCGCUUAGUGGGUUUUGUUUGUUUUGGCUUUUUCAGGUCCUGUAGCCUUUCUUCCCAUUUCACCAACUUAGAAUUGGGAUGCCCUUUUGAUAUGAGCUGCCUGUUUAAUAAACAGUCCCCUCACGACCGCUUUGUGAGCCAGCCAAACUAUGUCUAGUCUCACCUCAGAUGUAUUGUUAGUGGAGAAAUACAGAGUUAUCUUCGUUAACACUUUUGUGAGUAUUUGGGGGUUUGGAGAAGAGACUCAUUCAGUCACCAGAGGAGCUUGUUCUUAAAAGAAAAUUUGUCCAACAACGUGAGUGUAACAGGGGUGUGGUCCGACCAUUCAAUAUUCCCUAUCUCAUAGGCUGUGACUUUCUCAAGGUGUGUGCCUUUGAUAUAGUAUUGAUCUAUCCUUGUAUAACAGUUAUGUACCCAGGAGUAGUAUGUGUAAGCUUUGUCCAUUGGGUUGUGCAACCUCCAGACAUCAUAGAGGUUGUAAGAGUAAAAAAAGUGAGGUCAAUUGUUUGGCCAGUUUUGUCAGCUUUUUUACUCUUACUGUCCAAGGUGGAGUUAACUAAGGGGUUUUGAAGGCAGUUGAAGUCCCCACCCCCCUCCCCAAGGAUUAGCAAACCUUGUUGUAUUUGAUCAAUUUUGGAUAGGACCAGGGUUAAAAAAUCUUUUUGGUUGUUGUUAGGGGCAUAUAUGUUAGCUAUUGUGAGGAUAUUUAUGGGGAUGAAUUAUUAAUAAUUUUUUAUUAAUUAAAAAUAAUAUUUUCAUAAAAAUUAUUAAAAUUAAUAAUCUUCAUUAAAAUAUCAGCGGUUGAUAUUUUAUUGGCGCUAUUCCCAAUUAUUAUUUUAAAAGCGAAGAGUUACUCACUAUUUUAACUCUAAGACUUAGAAUUUAAUAUUUCAUUUUACACUGACCUCUCUGGCAGCACACUGGCCUGGCAGUGGUCACUCAAGCCUCUUACCACACUUCUCCAACAGCAAAACAUCGGAUACCACUGGCGCAUGUCCUGCACGCUCCUGGGGACACAUGGGGACACUACAUAUCCUCUCCAGGACCUGGAAGAUGCAACGGCGCUCCUAAGGAACUUGGACCUACCACAGGACUAUCUAACAAGGCCCCAGUCGCAGGCCGCUUCUAGGCACCCGCACAAUUGGGACCCUGCCAUAAUCAUUCCAUUCACCCCACACCGACCCACAACAGAAUCGUAUGCAGCUGCCACUACGUGAAGCCCAGAGAGACCUUAGGAUUCAGACUGGCACGGCUAUGUUUAUGUUUACCUGAUACCACUGUUCAUGUUCCUCGUUUUCUUUGUUUUUCUAGUACACAACAUACCUGUCACUACAUGCCUACCGACAGGUAUAGCUCCCGCAAAGAGGCAAACCCCCCCCCAAGACCUCUGUCCACUAUAUAGACAAGAGAGGCGUAAAAACCCAUACCUAAAUGUAUAACUAUCCUGCUUUAAGGUGGUAAUGCCUGUAAAGCGCACACCUGACCAGCAACCAGUGGUGUAUCCUGGUUUUGUGCUGCCCUAGGCAGGACAAAACUCAGGCGCCCCCCUCCCCCCCGCGCCACCCCCACCCAACCCUUCCCCCCGCCCCACCUUCUAAAUACACACACACACACAGUCAGACACAAACACACACACACACAGUCAGACACAUACACAAACACACACACAGUCAGACACACACACAAACAGUCAGACACAAACACACACACAUACACAGUCAGACACACACACACACACACAGUCAGACACACACACACACACACACACAUACACAGUCAGACACAAACACACACAGUCAGACACAAACACACACACAAACACACACAGACACAUACACACACACAAACACAGUCAGACACAUACACAGACACAAACACACACACACACACUCACAAACACACACACAGUCAGACACAAACACACACACACACACACACACAAACACACACACAUUAACUUUUUUUUUAAUUUAAAUCCCCCCCCAACCUCCUUACCUUUGGGAGUGCUGGGGGGGGGUCUCUCUCCCUGGUGGUCCAGUGGCUGCAGGGCGUGCGGCGCUGGCAGGUGGGCGGCCGGCGAGGGAGCACUUCCCAUGAGCUGACUGCUCAGCUCCCUCGCGCGUCGGCUGCAGAGUGAGGCUGGGAACCGGAAGAUGACGUCAUCUUCCGGCUCCCAGCCUCACUUUGCGGUGCGCGAGGGAGCUGAGCAGUCAGCUCAUGGGAAGUGCUCCCUCGCCGGCCGCCCGCCUGCCAGCGCCGCACGCCCGCUCGGGAUGUCAGUUAGCCGCAAGGCUAACUAGGCAUCUGCCCUGGGCAUUUGGGGGGCGGCGUUUUUUGCCGCCCGCUGAAAAAUGCCGCCCAAGGCAAAUGCCUUGUUUGCCUCGCGGCUAAUACGCCCCUGCCAGCAACACCUGCUAUGUGCAUGUCUACAGGCUGAUAGCCAUCUAGCCACCGAAGUUAUCAUCAAGCUGUAUGGAGUUUCCAUCUCCACAAAACCAGUGGACACAACCCAUUAUAUUGUAAGCUUUAACCAAAUAACUUUCACACACCACAAGCUUGUUACAUCCCGAUAAAUGUUUAAAAUGUUUUCCACUAUUAACCGAUGUGGUCACUCCACAGCGGGCAAAGAGUACCAACGCUAUCAUAGGUACUUUGAUUAUGCAAACUAUGCCUGUGUUAUUAUCUGCCUAGCUUGUUCAUACACCGCAUGGAAAAUGCCUAAUAGUUAGACAUGCUUAUGUUCUUGCAAUAACAGGUUCAUAGCCUAACAAUCUGUAUAAUCUAAUAUAUAUACAGUUGCAAGAAAAAGUAUGUAUACCCUUUGGAAUGAUAUGGAUUUCUGCACAAAUUGGUCGUAAAAUAUGAUUUGAUCAUCAUCUAAGUCACAACAAUAGACAAUCACAGUCUGCUUAAACUAAUAACACACAAAGAAUGAAAUGUUGCAAUGUUUUUAUUGAACACACCAUGUAAACAUUCACAGUGCAGGUGGAAAAAAUAUGUGAACCCCAUAGACUAAUGACAUCUCCAAGAGCUAAUUGGAGUGAGAUGACAGCCAACUGGAGUCCUAUCAAUGAGAUGAGAUUGGAGGUGUUGGUUACAGCUGACCUGCUCUAUAAAAAACACACAGCAGUUCUGGGUUUGCUUUUUACAGGAAGCAUUGCCUGAUGUGAAUGAUGCCUCGCACAAAAGAGCUCUCAGAAGACCUACGAUUAAGAAUUGUUGACAUGCAUAAAGCUGGAAAGGGUUAUAAAAGUAUCGCCAAAAGCCUUGCUGUUCAUCAGUCCACGGUAAGACAAAUUGUCUAUAAAUGGAGAAAGUUCAUCACUGCUGCUACUCUCCCUGGGAGUGGCCAUCCUAUAAAGAUGACUGCAAGAGCACAGCGUAGUCUGCUGAAUGAGGUGAAGAAGUAUCCCUGUUAGCGAAUCUACAAAAUGUAAAACACUAAACAAGAAUGGAUUUCAUGGGAGGAUACCACAGAGGAAGCCACUGCUGUCCAGACAAAACAUUGCUGCACGUUUACAGUUUGCACAAGAGCACCUGGAUGUUCCACAGCAGUACUGGCAAAAUAUUCUGUGGACAGAUGAAACCAAAGUUGAGUUGUUUGGAAGAAACACACAACACUAUGUGUGGUGAAAAAAAGGCACAGCACACCAACAUCAAAACCUCAUCCCAACUGUGAAGUAUGAUGGUGGGGGCAUUAUGGUUUGGGGCUGCUUUGCUGCAUCAGGGCGUGGACGGAUUGCUAUAAUCGAAGGAAAAAUGAAUUCCCAAGUUUAUCAAGACAUUUUGCAGGAGAACGUAAGGUCAUCUGUCUACCUGCUGAAGCUCAACAGAAGAUGGGUGUUGCAACAGGACAAUGACCCAAAGCAUAGAAGUAAAUCAACAACAGAAUGGCUUAAACAGAAGAAAAUACACCUUCUGAAGUGGCCCAGUCAGAGUCCUAACCUCAACCCGAUUGAGAUGCUGUGGCAUGACCUCAAGAAAGCGAUUCACACCAGACAUCCCAAGAAUAUUGCUGAACUGAAAAAGUUCUGUAAAGAGGAAUGUUCAAGAAUUACUCCUGACCGUUGUGCACGUUUGAUCUGCAACUACAGGAAAUGUUUGGUUGAAGUUAUUGCUGCCAAAGGAGGUUCAACCAGUUAUUAAAUCCAAGGGUUCACAUACUUUUUCCACCUGCACUGUGAAUGUUUACAUGGUGUGUUCAAUAAAAACAUGGCAACAUUUCAUUCUUUGUGUGUUAUUAGUUUAAGCAGGCUGUGAUUGUCUAUUGUUGUGACUUAGAUGAUGAUCAGAUCACAUUUUAUGACCAAUUUGUGCAGAAAUCCAUAUCAUUCCAAAGGGUUCACAUACUUUUUCUUGCAACUGUAAAAUGUUCAGAAGGUACACCUAGUGUUGAGCCUUUUAGGCAGUCCCAAAACCUGGAUCAACAUACCUAGCCUGUAUCAAUCGUGUUCAUAGCAAACCAUAACAUUUGUAUUUACCUUGUUAUAAACUGUGCUAGUAUACUCAUUGCCACAGCAAUGUAUUCUUCUUACCUAGCAAAUGUGUUUAACUCAGCUCGCAGUUCUUAUAAUUAAUGUGUAAGCUACAUAACACACAUAUUUGACUACUCAUGAUUUACCUAAGUAACACUAAAUGUCAGAUUAAUCUAACAUACCACUCUUGAACUCACUAUCCUGACUUAGCUAUCCUUUACCUAAUAACAAAAAACGUGCCUACAUUUCAAACGUCACAAUUUGUUUUGCAUACUGUACUCCUCUAUACCUUGAUACCGCUGUUGUGGCGUACUGAGGCUGUUUGUUCAUUUUGUGCACAACAACAAAAUAAACACGUGUAAAUAUACAUGAUAAUUAGUGAACAGUUUUCAAUAACAUUGAAUAAAAUAUGGCAUAAUUCAGUAUCACAAUCACAGUAAAGCAAUUUCAAACUUUGUUAGAGUGAUGGAAUUGUUCGUCCAUGACAAUUUCAACAGGGUUAGCAAAUGGAACGUUUUACUUCAUAUACAAUUGAUUGAGACAAUCAGCAAAUAGUAUGUCACUAUUUGUUAAAUUAUAAAGAACCAUAUGAGUAAUCAGCAUAUGGAUUCUUAUAAUUUAAAGGCAGAUUUUUCAGAAUCUUAAGGAACACAAUCUUAGUUUUUCUCUUAGUAGACUUACAACGUGUGUAUUGUUUGUCCAUUGUAAACAUUCAUUAGACUUAACUGGACAUAGAUUGUAAAUUACUCAAGUUAUCUGUACACAAAGUUCUAUGGACAAUGUUUAAUCAGCUAGCCACAGACAAGUGCUGACAAGUCAGUUUAAGUUUUUAACUCAUACAGGAUUUUUAUUAGCUCAUUGCUGUUUCACAGAGUAAUUCAUUAUGAUUAAUUAAUCCAUUCAGUAACUAAAUUCUUGCAUGUUUAGUUAAAAUAAUUCUUAUCUGAUAAAUAUUUCCUAGAUUUGCUAUCUGAUUAAUAUUAAUCUGGGUAACUCUGGAUAUUCUCUCUUUAUUUCAUGAUACCAAUUUGUUUCCCAGUCAAGAUUGUUUCAAGAUCUUCUAGAUUGUCAGAUGUCCAGGGAUUUCAAGAGAUCAUCGUGCUUCUCCUUUCUUUUUCUUUUCUUGUUCUAUCCCUGUGUCAUGGGGUUAUGUCAUUCCUUAUCUGUUAAUUUUCUGACCUAGUCUAAUGGGAAUUUUGGGGCAAGUCUUAUGUUAAUGGCUGCUGACCUCAUUUUGAUAUAUAUUUCUAUAUGUUUCAAAUAGCAGGUGGAGCUGUUGGUUUACGUCAGGAAUAUUACCAGCUAUUAUCAUAUGUAGGAUUAACUCUUGUAUAAGCCAAUUUAGAAAUGUUUUAAUUUCAAAGCUUCUAAGUCAGCGUUAACUUGCAACCCCAAUUGAAGUGAUUCAACCUAGAAGCCACAAAAACCGUACUAUCAAAUCAAUGAAACCUCUUUGUGUGAUCCCCAUUAGAAGACACACUGUUUCCAAAAUACAGAACAAAAAACUCAGCACCUGUGAAGACCCCAGCUCCUUAGUCCGACUCUACAACAAAACCAUGAGAGAUACCCUAGAAAUCACUGCACAAACACGCAUAUGCACUGGCAACACCCACAACAAUGCACUGUGGUUUGAUCACACCAUCAGAGAAAUGAAGAGAACAGGUCAUAAACUCGAGAGAUAGUGGCUCAGGACACAUGAUCCAGAGGAUAAAGCCACUCUUACUAAACAUAAUAUACAGAGAAAUAAAGGAAGAGUAAAAAUGUGGAGAGGGGUGAAGGAGGGGAUAUAGUAAGUGGAAUAGGCCAUUUCACUAACUUAAUAUUCUAUCCAUGGUCGCCAAAUUUUAUUGUGGGAGGCUAGAUUGCCUUUAAGCUAAGCUGGCAUUUCUUCCAUAUCUUGUAUGAAAUUCCCUUUUCUAAUACAUAGUCUAUUGUGGGAUCUUCCAUCUCUUAGUAAUAUAUAAUCUUCCAGCAGUAUAAAUCAUAUGGCAAAAGGACUAUGUGGCAUAACAUAAGUGCAUCGCUGAGUGGUUGCCAUUUAGUAGAGCCAAAAUAGCAUCAGGAAAUAUUGGUGUGAAAAACACAUCUCUCGGACACAAAGAUCUCUUUUGGAAGAGAUGUGGAAGACAAUAUGGACCAUCUACAUAUGCAUUUAUAUCCAUUUAGCUUGACUGUAUUACAGAUAGAUCAUUUGUAACAAUUUGAGAAUAUUUUCGCCCAUCUCUCUUCCAAUAUCAUGUUGCCUAAAUUUCUGGAAUGCCAUUUUCCGUCAUAAAAAACGUAUUUGAUAAAAAGCUGUGGAUUGUUAAUAUUGACCCACUAUCAGAAAAAAUUUAACUUGUAUAAACGUUUAACUGACAUCAUAUGGUUCCGAUUCACGGUAUGUGGCAAGCACACGAGAAAAGCUAUUUCCAAGAUUUUUCAGUUCUGAUUGAGGCAUAGAUUUGUUUAUUAUCAUAUUCUCAUCAGUGAGCGAUUGAGCAAAAUGACCCACGGCCACCAGAUUAUUUCUCUGCGAAAAUCAUCUUUCGUCCUGCAACUUUUAAGGUGACUGUGACGAGACCAAUCUCGCCACUGUGCUUUGGAGGAGCCUGGUUGCCCGCCUGCUACCUUUAGACUAUGGCCCCAUGUUGAAACACUUGAUUUUCCCCUGCAAAGACACGAAAACCAGGUCAUUCGGUACUUGCCUUAUUUGAACAGUGGUACCCCAGAUAGCUAUGCCAUGGAGCCCAUUCGUAUAACGAAAGACUAUGUGAAAGACUUUGGCUUCAUGGCAAUUGAACUGUAUGUAUGUGAUCUGAGUGCCAUUCUGUAAUAAUGUGCGCUCUGAGCUAAGCUAUCUGGGGAUAUGUUAAAUGUACCUGUUUUAUGCAAUAGCUGCACAGUUAUAUAUUUUCAUGUAUUUUAUUGUCUUUUGCUACCAUGUGUUCAAUGGAGUUCUGCCUCUGUCCUUGAAGAUAAUUGGAUUACUUCCCAAUUAUCUCCAGGAUAGAAGACUCUGUGGAACUGGUUUUGGGCAGAAAAGCCAUGCUUCAUUUGGUCACAAAGGACUUUGAUCUAAUUUUUGUCCCACUGGACCAAUUUGUAUGAUUUUGAUGUAUGUUUGUAUUUGGAGUAUGCUGAUUCUGAAAAUGUAAGUAAUAAUGCAUCACUUUCACAUAAGUUAUGAAUAUUGUGUAAAACUGUGCAGAGGGGAGGAUUUUGUGUGGGAGUGUCUGAGUGUAUUGUACAUGUUUAUUGGUUGUUGUACAAAACCCUGUGGGUGGUACUAAUGUGUAAGAAUGUGUAUAUAAGAACAAUAAACCCACAGCUCUGUCUGUUCCUGUUUGACUCUCAACACGGAGUCUUGUCUCGUUCUUGGGGGGGUUUAUUGUAUGCUGUUCCAGUUCGACUGCUAGGAGUGUAAACCUUUCGUAUGUUUUUUCCUAUUCGGCUGUUUACAGCAUUCGUAUGUUUGAGAGCAUUUACAUGCGUCUCCGGUUCGGUUGAUUGGUGUCUACAGUAGCUGACUGUAUAUCUGGAAGGGAAUAUCUCCUAAACGGCUUUUAACCCCUUUUAUGCCUGGGGGUGCCGUUACAGUGACAUUUAGGAUUACCUAUUACAGGGAUCACUGCUGAUUUACUUGAGGGCAUAGGUUUGUGCAGUUGAGUAAGUUUGACAUUUUUAGAGGUGUGCAUAAUUUUUCUUCAUUAUCAACCCAACAGUAUGUGUUGGGUGGAGAAUUAAAUUUCAAAGCUUGAGUAAGUUGUGUAGCUCUGUAGAAUUGUACAGAAUCAGGAACACCCAAGUGCCCUGAGUUUCUUUGGUGGAGAAUCAAAUCAGUGGACAGUCUGGCUCUUUUACCUACCCAUAGGAAUUUUAGCAUACGACAUCUUGGGUAGAAGAGAUCGCUGAUUAAUUUUAAUUAAUUUAGCUUUAGGUAGAAUAUGUUUGGACGUAUCAUUAUUUUUAGAGAAUAAACACACAAGAUAAAUAUUAUAAGGAGUCCAUUUCUUCAUAAGAGAAUAUGCUUAAUAUUACUUUGUUGAUGUCACUUGGUCUUUGUGGAAUAGUUUAAGAUUAACUUUACAAACCACGCUGUUUGAUCAACAUAUGUUUAAAUUGUAAAAUAAUCUAUAUUAAAGUGGAUAUAUAACUUUUCAGUAUUUCAUAAAAAUACAGCCAACACCAUAUGUGUUUUGGGGAAAUAUGCAAAGAUAUUAACAUAUCCACUUUGAGUACUAGGCUGUUAGUAACUUUGGGUAAAGCACAGUUCAUACAUCUAGCCCUCGGAUAAAAGGACAGGAUGCAUGUAUUAGUGGCAUCAAUCCAUUUUGUUCAUUAAUAUGGAAUGGCUAGCUUUACAAUAGAAUGCUGUACAGUGCCUUUCCCAACAUUUUCAUGUAUUUUAUUGUCUUUUGCUACCAUAUUCCCAACAACUAACCCCCUUAGAUGUUUCCACAUAUUCCAAUGUUGCAACCUUGAAUUAAAAUUCAUUUUUUUCAGAAUUUAGAAAAAAAAAGAAAGAAAAAAGAAAACCAAAUGUGAAGGUUAGCUCUUUUGGGGGUGGCGGUUCAAAUGAUCCUAUGUUUUGUAUCUGUUAUUAAAUCAAAUAUUUUCUAGCAGUAUUUUGUUUUGUAUUUUUCCAAAACAAUUAGAUAUUUUUUGGAAUACGACAAAUGUCUCUGAGCAUGGUUGUUUUCGCUUUUGUCAAGAUUAGAUUAGUAGUUAUUACAAAGAGUUCACUCACUUCCACCACGGACUUUGCAAUAUAAUAAAUUCGUAAGAGAUACAGCCAAGGUAAAUACGAAGUAAGAGAACUCAGACAAAAUACAUGCGAAGUAAAAGAACUCAGACAAAAUAUAUGCUUAGUAAAAAUUGUAUUUAUUGAAGAAAGAAAUGUGAGCAUUUUAUGCUUCAUGUUUUAUGCUUAAUAAUACUUUUAAAACUCAAAAAGAAAAAUAUGAAGAAGUAUAUAAGUGUAAGUGCAUUCUGUAAACUCUACUUAAGUGUUGCAAGCUUCUUUUGAAAAAUUCCCUUGGCCUUUCAUUUGAAUGAGUAUAGAAUAAUUUAAGAAUAGGUCAGCAACUUAAAAAAAAUAGAUCUAGAAGUCAAAACUGUUUCUAAAGUCAAAGAAUAUUUAUUUUAGUCAUCAGUACUAAUUUAUAACCAUGUUGAGAACAUAAGAAUAAGGGGAACUGAAAUUUUGAAAUAAGUUAUUUAGAUGCAAUAUCCACAACUAUUUCAAUCAUAAAAAAUUCUUCAUUUCAUAUCACAAUCAAUUUUUAUAAAAAUAAGGAAGUUAAAUAAUUUAUACGGUUGGCAUAGCCACAGGGUUUGCUAAAAAUUGAUAGGUUUGAACAGUUUGCCAGCUACUGUCCCCCACCAUUGUGAGCACCCACCACAGUUAGAGAGGAUAGAGCCCUCAGCACCCAGCUACAUGGCAUAAUCGUGAUUUUAUUCAGCAAUUAAAAAAUGUGGCAAUGUUUUGACACAAAGUCCUUGAUUGAAUUAGCUUUCCAAAUGGUGUAACCACAGAAGUUGCCUUUAUAUUCUGUGGACAUUUUUGUAGAUAUGUUUUUCCAACAUAAUUUAAUCAUUUGGAAAGAUUAUUAAAUCGAGGCCAAAGUGUCUUGACACUUUGUGUCGAAACGUUGCAACACCUUGUUUGACAGUUGAAUACAAUCACCAUUAUACCACUACUGUGUGCUGAUGCUGAUUCACCCUGCAUUCCUGCAGAGGAGGAGAAAUUGAAAACAUAAAACAAUAUUUGUUUUUCUCCUUGUCUUUUUACUUUUGCUAUGUAAUCAGAAUAUAGUAUGUGCGCUUCAAAGCUAUCAAUAUAUAAAAGAAGACAAGAAAUCUGUUCCUAUAUAAAAAGUAUGUAUACCUUUAAUAAAACAUGAAAUCAAAUAAAAAUUAAGAACAGAUGUUUCCUUUUUAACCCCUUAUCAAAAUAAAUCUACCUCUAUAGGGAGUCAAAAGCUCAUGAUUCAAUCAGUUGUCAAUAAAGAUCCUAAUAUAUGUAGACCAUAAAUGACAAACAUCUCAGGUAGGGGAAAAACACAACCAUGAUAUUUAAAGGUGACAACGUGCAAUGACCUACGAUGAGAUGUCUAAGAUAUUUCACAACCAAAGGGGUAGAGUGGCUGAAUGUAGCAAAAAGGUUGUUAAAAAAUAGUGCAUCAGCAAAAAAGUCCCUUUAAAAAUACCUGAGAGGAUAUAUCAUAAAUGUGACCAUUAAUAAAAAAUUUUUUUCCUUUCCUUUAGACUUAUGACCUUAUGGCCAUUUUAACCAGAAAAUUGAUGUUCACCUAGUUUGGUAGCGAACUAAAACAAAUAACUAGUACAUUAAACAAUCAAAAUUGUGAUAACACGCUAUCAAACAUGCCUUAGACAUAAAACAUGAAGCAGCAGCAGGUGGCACACAAGAUCAUACAUGCUUCAAAAUGAAAAUAUAGAAAAAGAGAUAAAAAAAAAUAUAGAAAAUGAUAAAUGGAUUAUAAAAUCCUAAUAUGAUACUGAGUACCUCUACCUCCAGAGCAGACAGAGGCUGGCUGAAAGAAAAUAAAAAAUAUUUAUGUGAGGUGCAACUGCACAAAAGGACCGGAAAAUGGAAAGAUAAAAACAAAACUACAACUUCAGGAAAAUUGAGCACCAGUCAAAAAAUGAAACUUUGAUCUGAUACAAUUCCUGGUUGAGUCCUUAGGGGCCAAAGAGUUGAGCUUAAAUAUCCAUUUGGAUUCAGCCCUUGUUAGAUCGUUUUUCCUCUUUGCCAGAUCUCUUUUGGCCGGAAUUAGGUCAAUUCCCAUUACUAUAAUGGACGAGGGAUCACUGUUGUGAGAUAUUUCGAAGUGACAAGCAACUGGAGAUCGCCUAUCUUUAUGCAGAAUGGAUAAUCUAUGCUCUCUGAAUCUGCAUUUGAGCGGUCUGAUGGUUUGCCCCACAUACUGUAGCCCACACAUGCACAUCAGCAGAUAUACAGCAAACGUAGAGUUACAGUUAAUUCUAUAGGGGACCGUUAAGAUCUCCUCAUUAUACCUUUUAUAUACUUUUCUAUGCUGAUUGCCAAGUGCAAAUAACAGAGCUUUUUAACAAUGAUUGACAGGCAACUAAGAUGGUGGCUCCCAGGUCCUGAUUAAAGCAGUGUGGAGUUCUACAAUGUUUAAUGUUAUUUUUCACACCUUGCAGAUACAUAUUUCUUAAAAGUAGGGAAUAAAUAAACAUAAUAUAAAAAAUGCUGGGAAUUUAGAGAAGUUACAUUUUACCUCUAAGAGAUUUCUGAAAGUAGCUUGGAUCUCAUGACAUUUCUAAAGACAUGAUGACAUAACUAAUGCUGUAUGUAUAAUGUGUGUUAUAUAGUUUAAAGUAUAAAAAAAUGGCCUAUUUCCCAAAGUUGAGCAAAAUCAGAAAGUGUCUAAGUAUGACUAUAACUAACUUGUGCCUAGCUUUUCAGCUAAAUCUAAAUUUGAAUUGUUACUUGGAGUUUGUUACUUUAGUACCUUUGACUUCAAACAUCAGACAAUGAACGUUCAGUUGAUUGCUUCAUUAUAUGACUGAACCCCAAGUAAUUGUCACUGAAAUGCUGAUUGAUAAAUUGUUUUAUUUUGUUAAUGAUUUAUCGCUAUAACAGCUGAUUAAAAUCAUGCAAUAGCCUAUAAAACAAGGAAUGUUGUCCAGGUUUGUGUUUAAUGAUUAAUAUAUAUUUUACAUGUUUUAGGUACUACACAGAAUAAUUUAUACCUUUUAUCGG